rnacentral:lncRNA from 1 species
CAUCAAGCUCAGUUCUCAAGUGGGGUGCGUGUACUCUUUCUGUCCCUGCUAUCUUUCUGUCCCUGCUUCUUUACCUAUUGCAGAGAAUGGGUCAUAUGUUUCUUAUACCUUGUUGCGGCGGAGACUGAUAUUAAUAGUGAGUUGCUAAGGCUAUUAAUAGUACUUAUAGGCCUAGUUGCUAAGGUGAAGAAGACUAGUAGCAGCAGUAGGAGCGGAGAGGCAAGGGGGAUUCUGGUUUUGAAAGAGUAGACAAUAAGGCUAGUGAGUGGAAUUCCUUACUUUAAUGAGUUAGUUCAAGACUUUAAUGAGUUAGUUCAAUUCAUAACUUCAAGUUGAGAGGUCUGGUCAGAUGGGAAAGGGGAUCCUCCAUUUCAUGAUUAACUUCAAGUCUAGGUCGAGGAAGACAAAGUCAAGAGCCCCAUUAAGUAUACAAAGUCAGGAGCCCCAUUAAGUAUAUAGUAACUGUAACCAAGCAUAUACUAGACAAGCAUGAGUUUUCACUUAUUAUGUACAAGUCCAGUGUUCGACAAGUGAAUAAACUGAAUCAGCAAACUCAGUAUCAGACUCCGUAUCAGACGAAUUGACUUACUUCGACACUAAGACAGAUGAGAGAAUUUCUCCUAUAGCGACGGAACUAGCAGCGGCAAAUGAGCUAGCAAGGGCAGGCUAUAAGUAAGGGCAGACUCAAACAAAAGAGUCGAGGAGCUAGGGACAGCAGCUAUAGACUAAGAGAGAGCCCUGGAAGAGUGAAAGUGUGAGGGUAGAUUUAGGUUCAGUAAUAUCCGUUUUUUAGUUAGUAGCGGUAGGCCGUUAAUAAGGCUUUUUUUGUUCUGAUUAGUAUAAGUUGAAGGAUCCGGGUCAGCAGCCGUAGCCUUCAAAUAAGUAGCUGGUUUCCCAUUUAGUGGGGUCAGUAUUAUUGGCAUUAGUGAGUUGCCUGGCGAGUACAAUCCCUUGUUUUGAGUUUGAUUCCCGAAAUAUAGUACUUCAUUCUGUACCGGACUACAAGAAAGUAUGCAAAGCAAGAAUCUGAAUAUGGAAACAAAGAAUGAAAGACAUAAGUAACAGGGCGAAACCGAGGAAGAGCUGUUUUAGAGCAAGUAGGGGUAGACUUCGGUUAUUGUUAGUGUAGUAGCAAAGGCAAGGAUCCGAACUAUUGGAUAAAGGAAAGAAGCCGGGAUCCAUAUCAGUAGAAAGAAGGGGAAGCCCUAGAAACUGUAGUCACAGGCUAAUAGUGAGUAGUGACAGUCCAGUUAGUAGUGGUAGGCCGAUACACUAGCUAAUAAGGCAGGGUUUUGGGGGGCAUGAAUAAGGCUUUGACAGCAGGGUUCAAUUCAUUGUUCUAAAAGUGGAUAGGCCCUUAUAGUAUGUUUCGGGAAGGUAGACAAUAAGUGACUUGAGAGGAGAAGUCGGGUGCUUGUGUUAAGCUUAGAAGAAAUCUAGAAUAUUUGCCUACUUGCCCACUUGUCUAUCCGUUGCUUGGCCCCCAACCUGUAUAGUAGUCUAGAGCCCAGAGCAAUAACUGUAUUAUAAGAAUUCAACUCAAAAGUAGGAAAGUAGGAGUUACAGAAUUGAACACUAGGUGGUUAGAUCAGAAUGCAACUAACUACCAGUAACUAAGGGACCGAUCUGAAACUCUCACUGAUUCUUUUGAGGCUUAGGAUCUUGAAACAGCUCUAAAAUCAACCUAGCUGUAGGGCAAAAUCAUCCUAGCUGUAGGGGCAGUAGUCAAGUAAAUACUUAAUGGAAUUGAAUGCACAUCGCAUGCAUCUAAGUUUUGAAUCUGACCUACAUCUCGAUUUCCUUGAUACCGUACUAAAACCAGCGCAGGAGAAGGAAUGGAUUCUUCCCCCGGAGCUUCACUUUCGAACACAUAAACAUCAUUUCCUGAUCCCGAUCAACCUCGAGUCGACGUACCAACCUAUACAGCGGAUUCUUUAGUCGCAUUAACUGUCAUGUCAACAACUGUCUGGUCUGGUCCGGAGCAAGUCAAGUUUUUGGCGCUAAGAGAGUUUACCGGCUAAAGUUAGGGUUGCGCAAAGUCGUCUGCAAGUGAACCAUAAAGAUGAGAGGCUCAAUACAUUCGUUGAGCCCUUAUAGGGGUCUUCUAGGUGGAUUCCCAUUUGAUUAGGCAAAGAUGCAUUUAAAGGACAUAGGCAUUACUUCAAGUAACCGUUAGCACAAACAAGCUUCAACUUCCAAGGGAAACUAGACUUUAUCAUAAUAAGAAAGAGUAGGCACUUCCAACUGAUAUGGGCGAGUAAUCAAACCUCACUGCAGACGCCGGGAAUACAGAUCUUCAGCAGUGUAAAGAAAGGGAAGCUGUGUUUAGUAUAGAGAUUUAGAUAAUAAGAGAGGAAUAGGUUCUUAUGUCGGUGAACAAGUAAGUUGCCCGCUCGCAGGAAUUCAAUCAGUGCCGAGUGUUUCAGUUGAAGGAUCAGAUUGUGUUGUCGGUUAUGAAAGGGAUAGUCUCAUAAGGUUAAAGUAGAAUCGAGGGUGUUGACGCAAGAUCAACUGUAAUUACAUUCUGAAAGCAAGGUACCUAUGCUCUGUUUGUUUACUUGAUUCUUUACUGGGCACUCGAUAGAUUCAAUCUCGAUAGAUUAACAAUCUCGGUAGAUUCCAUUCCGUAUUUGUUUCUUGAUCUUACAGAGAGACUAUGCUAUCUUCCUAUCUUAGCACAGUAGAUUCAAUUGGAUAGCAGAAGACAGGACCAACAGGACUAAGUGUGCUAACGGGAAGCUCGAAAGAUGAAAUUCCAGUUUUCUCGGCUAACGUUGACUUCCUCGGGCAAUCAACAUUACUCCGAUCUUCUGCGCAAGCAAGUUGUUUUACUGUUUUCCUUGGCUUACGUUGAGUUCCUGUUUUUCGGGGUAUACCAUUAUUGUAAUGAGAAGAACUUAGAUGAGCUGCUUGCUUGAUAUGACAGUCCGAGGAUAUACGCACAAGGUAGCGGUGAAAUAAAUUAUGAGUUUGUUGUUGCGCUAACGGGAGGCGAAAUUAGGACUUGUAAUAAGAGGAAAGGCGGACACAGUUAAGCUCCAAAAAACAGGACUUGGCGAAAUUAGGACUUGGCGGACACCUGCCGCUAGUUCUCGCGCGAAAGAAAAGAUCUCUUUUUUCUAUACCUUUUCAGUAGACCAUAAGAGGGGAAAAUGAUAGGUGAGUUUCUCUAUCCUUAUGAAAUUAAGGAAAUAGGAUUCCACUGCCAAUCUCUCUUUCUCCUAUACCAACUCUGUACUAGUUAAGAAGAGAAUACUUCAUUGAAGAAGUGGGAAGAAUUAAGGAACUAUCGAACAGGCUAUCGAACUGGAAUGGGAUGAAUUCAGAUAGAAACCCCGGAAUACUUUAUUUAAGAAAUGGGAAGAAUUCGGGCCAAGACACUCGGGCCAAGGGCAAAGCAACGGCGCAAGCCGCUGCGCGGCAGCAACAGAAUAGAUAUGUUAUAGCCAGUUAUUAACAAGUCCUGUGUUCGCGUUCCGCGGCAGUUGUUUGGCAAUAAGAAACAACAAAUAAAUAUACUAUAUGUUGUUAUUACUCCAGAUGUGUUCGGUGACGCGGUAGCGAGCCCUCACCGGUUUCAGUCUUAUAGUUAGUAGUUGCUUGGCCCUUACUUGUUAGAUGGAGUCUCCACCUCUCCCCACGGCCGCUAAGUCUGAUUCCUAUACUAAUAAGGAUCACACUACUGCUAAAAAGAAGUGAGCUAUUGACCGAACAGGCUAUGACUACUACUUUAGAAGACCUUAACUCAAAACUAGGAACCGCUCACUGCUCUAUCGGAAUGAAACUAGUUCUUAUGAGAAUGAUACACUGUCCACUACGACUCGAACAUUCCCCACAACAAUAAGAGAAUGUAACGGGGGCUAACAGGACUUCAACAAGAAACUUGGGAUUGAGCUAGUUCGGGCAAGGCUUAUACUGUUACUCAAAAGAGUCGAACAAACCAACCAACUAAUAGGCCAUAUGCUCAAGUUAGAGUAUGACUUUCGGUAUGUAUGAUUUUCGCUUAUAUUAACUAUAUGGAUUCAUUAUUCUUUUCACUUAUACUUAUCAUAUUCUAUUUCUAUUCUUUUUAUGGGCAGUUCGAUUAUAUAACCUAGGUUCAAAAGCAGCUCUACUUUGGAUCUUCUUAAUUGUAUCAAUGGAACAGCUCUACUUUGGAUCUUAAUUGGCGCAAUGGAACGCUACGACUUUUUCUUGGAAUUAGGUGAAACAACAGCUCUACUUUUGGAACUCUUAUUUGAGGCUGUUUGUAUGGGUGCGAUGUACCUUCUAUGCACGACCGACCGCCCGUUGACUGAUCUCAUAUUACCACCAAGAUCGAUGCACAUGUGCCUACGCCAUUGUCUGUGUGUGAUGCGCCAAUCUCCUCUGUCUUCUUUUCUUGGUGUGAGUCAGGGAAUAGCUUGUGUUACGCGAUUCGAGAUAUCGUUUUUCUACUACAAAUACAAAUUCCAUUCUAGUAAGAGAACCCAUGUUUUCCGCCUAUAAGGUUCUAGAGGGAAGAUCGAGUUCGUAAAUCCAAAUAAGAAUGAAAGGUAGGAUAAGUAGAAUAGGGCAUGGUAUGAUCCAGCACUGCUAGCGCAUCUAGUCAUAUACUAAUAUUUGAGUCAGCAUCAGAGUAGCACUGAGUAGUCACAGAAUGCAUGGUCCCCCGCCCAGGUCAAAGUAGGGAAUGCAAUUCCUCGGUCUACGAAUGGAAGUUGAAACUUGGACACGAGAAUCAAACUCAUUACUGAAAUACUGGAUCUUACUAGAAUCCAGAAUUGGACUAGUGCUUCUAAGACCAGAGCUGCUGCUUACUAGAAUGAAAACUCAAAAGAACGACUCACUCUUGACUUGCACUCUCCCAAACGCCCCCCAGAUUACGUAUAUCUUAACUCGAUAUCAAACUCAAACUCAUGUCUAUACGCCUUACUUUGCUAGGCACCGACUUCUACUUGUUCCUAAGAGUCUCACUUGCUAACUGGCAUUCCAUAUCCCAUCCUCGAACUACUUAUUUGCAUUCUAUAACAAUAACUUUGGAGCCUUACUUCCAGGGGAUAAAGUACUUGAGACUUCUUUCUUGCUUCCUGACUUCUGAGAUUGAGCCUGACGUUACUUGAUCUCAGGCCAACUACCUUUGUUUUCAUUCCAUUCCAUGAGAGACGAACCUAGAUCUGUCACUACAAACUAUCAGACAACAGCUCGAAACAAAGAUUAACCACCUACCUAAAAAGACCUUCACUAAAAAGAAAGAAGCUAACUCACUUGGGUUAGUAUACCUUUCCUGUCCCUGGGUCUCCCGCUCCCCAAUUGAAAACUUGACCACCCUUCUCUUAUUCUACAACACCUGACUCGCAUUCUGCCUACCCGGGGCCAAAACCCUUGCUUGACUUUAUCUCAGUCCGCCUUUACUAACAACCAUGCUUACUACCUUUGCUAUAAAACAAUAACUCCCGUCUACGCGCCUGUGACUACUAUACUACCAAUAAGACUGAAACUACCUACUUCAAUGCCUAGGUUGUCCCUUCCCAGCCUGCCCAUUAGUAAGAAACCAAUGUCACCUAGAUAAGAAACCAAUCUAAACUAGAUAAGAAACCAAUCUAAACCGGGCUUACCUUACUAGCUCUAAUCCUUACUUUAGCUUACCUUACUAGCUCUCAUCCUGACUUUUGACUGGCAUAUUAGCCUUUCCGUACUAAACUCAUUACUGUAGUUCGCCUACGAUCCUCCUACUAGAAACUCUUAGAUUGAAACUGCCGCUUAUCACUCUUUAGCUCCUGUAUCUCUGCCUAGCUAUCAAACGAAAACUCCGACUUCCGAGGCUAAACCCACAGCUAACAAGGCUAUAUAGCUUGAAACCAGGGCUUUCACCGCUGCUGAGGGCUGCUAACUCUCAUUCUUUAACCACUGACCUCGAAGCACCAAGUAACUGCUAAUGUGUAGCGGUAGCUUCCCCCUAAAGCCCUAACGACGAUUCUGAUUACCCUGCCAAUUAGUAUGCCUUUACUUGUUUUGAUUCUUCAAACGACAAUUAUUAGGCUGUGCCUCUUUGCUUUCAUUCCCGCACUUCUUAGGGGAAGUCUACCACCUUGCCAUCCAUAGAAGAGAGCCUUACUUUGAAUGUACCUGGGCCUUGCCUUACUGACCUGGAACCUUGCUUUGUAGCUUCAAAAUACCUCUCCUUUUCUUGGUUCUGACUUUCCUGGUUCUCCGCCUGUCACCCUAGGGGCAUCUAUUAGAAUUACCUUUCUCAAUUGGUCUGCCCUUACGGAAACUCAUUCUAUUGCUAUUGUUAAAGAAAGCAACAGUGAAGUAGAAGAAUGAAAAGAACAAGUAUCAGAAAAGAACUCAUUUGCUUAUAAUAAAAGAAGUAGACCUAGCAGUCCAAACCUAACUUACUACCCUAUCGCUCCUGCCCCAAAGUAUUACUUGCCUAGCCCUCAUUCCAAUACUAGCAGUAGCUGUUUCAGUUUCAAGAUCCGAAGCCUUAUCAAAAGGAGUUGGCUAAAGUCCAGGUCUAGGUAAGGAUGCUACCUGUGCUACUACUGCCGGGCAAAAGUGUGCUACCGGGCGAAAGUCUGCUACCAGUGAUCGUUUAAUACCGAGACCAAGUUGAAGUAAGUGUUAUCCUUUUGAAAGAGAAGAUAUCAUUUAGUACGGGGCAAGCAGCCGACAAGCAGGAAAGAUCCCGAAAUGGAACUUUAUAGGAGCGGCGAGUGGGACAAUAAGUGACGUUACCUACUUCCGGCGUUUCACCCAGGACUUGUGCAUGUCAACUCAACUACUUGGAAUUGAUCGAGCGAGUAUAGAUUGGAGUCAACAAGCCUACUUCCCUUUCUUUUGCUUCAAAACAAAGACCAGACUUUCCACUUCAAUAAUGAAUAUCGGCUUUGUAACUCCCGAAAACAGGACUUGCACAAGGUACUUUUUAGCAUCAGCUUCAGCAGUUUCUAAUUCUGUCUGAUCUUCUUUCUUUAGACGAUGAAAGUCAAGCACUAUAAGAGAAGAGUCAAAGUCAAUAGCUCUCGUAGACUUAACGAGCACCGGCACUCGAACCUCUUUCGCAGACAAAUAAACAAGACUGGAAGAAGUACCGACAUAAGCACCGGUAUCGGCGUAAAGACAUCUGACAAUUGAACUGCCUCUGAUCGCCACCCCCGAUCUGAAUGAUUAUCCUUCUUUCUAUACCAGUUGGAUCUUCCGUUGGGCAUUCAAAAAGAGAUUCUUCCCGAACUAGACUUGGACCACACCUCGCAUCAAAGCUUUUAAGCGGAAGUCUUGGCCAGUCCGUUCCCGGGUAAUAGUAAUAGUCAGAACGAAGAGUUAGAACUAUAAGAUUAGGCUUCUAGUAGAGUAAGCGCAGACGGCACAGUUCCUUCUUUCAUUUUUCAAUAGUGGAGUUUUUGAAAGAAAUAGUAUGCGCAGACGAGCCGGCACCGGUCUUUAUGUUGGGUUGGGCUUUUCUUUUGCCUACCCCAGCUCUAUCCAUAGCAACUACGGGGAAUAAGUCUAUCAGCGACCUUCCACUUAUGAUUCACCAACUUUCCUUUUGGAUUUCUACUUCACAAUAUACAAACAGCUUUUAUGAAACAUCUGGUCUUGGAGAGCCCUUCCACCUUAAUAUGAGUUCUUUCCACUUAUUAAUGCGCCUUUCAAGAUACAUUUCUAGAUGGAUUGCCCACCGAAAGUUCCAUAUAUAAAGGCUAAAGGGUUGUCAUCGACGUUGACAAAAGAGCCUCCUAAGGUUGGUAGUUGGUUUCUUUUAGUUUCAAGCAGAGCUCGGGCUUCUUCCGGAGGGCAGCUAUAAGACCUUUCCUUUCCCCUCUCAGCCGAGCGAUGUGUAGCAAGUGUCUUUCUUGCCUUUCUGAUUUCAUGUUUCCCCACAUUCACACGGUCUUGGAACAUGGUGAAUGCUACAUAUAGAAAACAACAAAGAGUAAUCAAAUACCUGAGUCUAGCUCCCUUACUACUUACAAAUAAUGGGAAAGAAGAAAUGGGUAGAGCAACAUUCUGCACUGACCGUCAAGACGUGAGAAUUCAUGAUUGCGCCAGCCAAUUAGUCAUCUUCAUAUUAUCAUGUGCUAAUGGUUGGGGGAACACCCAAGCUUUCUCGAUCAAUAUAGCAGUCAAAUUUCCCCUCUCCCCGAUCCAUGCUGUCUUUAGAAGCCCUUAUGCCGACCCCGUACUGAGGAGUCUGCAUUUCAGAACCAGCAGCUAUCUCCAAACCUUACCCUCGAAAGAAUUUAGUGGUUACGGGAUCCUCCAGUGGGUCAGGUCCAAAACUCUCUUUCCCUACGGAUUUAAGGUACGGGGAAUCUGGAUUAUUAGCCCUAUGAAUCUAUGAUUUCUUAUUAGUAGAGCACUAUGAAUUGAAUCUAUGAUUUCUUAUUAGUGGAGCACUAUGAAUCUAUGAUUUCGCGCACCCACCCAGGCACUGGAGAAGGCUUAUGAUUUGUGGAAGGAUCACGGCACUGGAGAAGGCUUAUGAUUUUGAAGGAUCACCUCAACCUAGAGUAGCAACAUUCUGAUAUAUCCCUAAAACUAACAAAAAAACAUGGUUAUCCUCGUUCUAACCCGAAUCCUACUUCUUUCUUUCUUUCCAUGGAAGAUUGGAAAUUUCGAAUUCGGAAGGCGGGGUACUGGGUACUUUAGGAUUUGUUCUUUGAAGAAAGCCGAAAAGACAGAACUUUCCUCGGAAAUAGUAGGCUGCUUUUGUGCUUUUUUCGGAUAGCUUAGCUUGUGAGAUACUCCGAGAGCUCUCGAAUAGGAGAGAAAAGAAAGCUUGUUGCCCAUUGUAAAAGCUUGAACACUUGCCAGCUAUAGGAUAUACUCAAAUGGGAGAAGAGAAUACAGAUAGAGGGAUUGAGUUACUGGCCCAUAGACAGAGACUCCAUACCUAGCAUACAUACCUAUUUAUUAGUCCGUAGCUUAGGACUUGAAGAAAUCAAAGAGCUAGAUUCGCAACUGCUACGCCAACGGAUUCUAUUCCCACAGCAUCUAAGCUUUCUCCCCUUGGCCAGCUUGAAAACACACUUUGGAUGCAAAAAAGAAACUAACAACUUACACUGCUACUCUAAAAGUAAGGGAUAUGUGAGAAGCUAUUGACUCUGGAAUCUUAGGUGGGCCGGUUAUUUAGAUAUAUUGACUAUAGGGCUAUUUCAUAGGGGUUUCUCUUUCGUCAAUCUUACGCGCAACCAAUUCUCUUGUCUGUAACCCUCUAUCAAUGCACCCUAUGUGAAACUAGUAAAGGAACUCUUUAUACCAUGGAUGUCGGGAACCAUCAUUCAGAUGGAUUCACCCACACCUCGCUUUUCGGCUAAAGUGUUAUUACCAGAACCUAAAGCGGCUCUCGCGGGUAUUAACUUAGCUGCCCUGCCAUUAUUGGUAUUCAUGGGAGUGCUAGACCAUACAAGGUUAUUAAACAUAUUCCAUUGCUAGGACCAUACUAGGUUAUUAAACAUCUUCCAUUGCUAGACCCGGCCUAAUAGGUACUUCUACUUUCUUACCAGGAUAGGAUCAUCAUUAGUAUUAGUACCAUCCCCACUUGCCUAAACAAAAGCAUUUAGAAAGGCUAUAAAACGAACAAAGGAACUGGCCUUAUAGCAGAAGCGAUACUUGCGCUUGCCCCUCUUUGCCUACUUGCUUGCCGGAUCCUGAGCUAGCUUACUUCCUUUAUUCUCUUCUUUAGCCUAUUAGGGGAUCAUCAAUAUGCAAUACUCCUUCCCCAGCCAGCAAUAGUCAUUCCUGACCUGGAAAUGGAUAUGGGCGCUGCGAGCUUGAAAGAGUAGGCAUCAAAAUCUCACUCCUAAGAAUCAAUUGGUGAAACUGGCCCAUAGUAAGACUUAUACUAGAGCACGCACCUCUAUUUUAGACUCCCUCCUUCCUUUAUCCCCCAUUCUUUUACAUAAACCUUCCUUUAUUCCCCAUUCUUUUACAUAAAUGAAGUAAUAAUAAAGAGAUAGACUUAUGGGAAUUAAGUAAUAAUAAAGAGAUAGACUUAUGGGGACGGUGAAGCAGAUACUUAUUUCUUCCAUAGGCGCAGGAAAUCCACACCAAAAUCCAGUAAUUUGCUCAUUCACUUACGAGAAGGAAAGCUACUCGGUUGAGAAUCUUCAGAGGAACUCACUAACCUGGCCCGAGAGUCAAAAAAGGAACUCCCACGAUAUGGUAACACUGCGCUCGAAGUCAGGAUCAAUAUGUGAGAGGCAGGGAAAAAGAGUAUCUGGACUUUCCUUAAACUGGCACCGAGGAAACCCUCUUAUUAUUUACAUUCCUUGCCCGGUGAUAGAACUUUCAUUAUUAUGUAUCUUCUGUUUACCUUGGAGUUGAAUUCUAUUCUGCUAAAUACAGAGAGAGUUCCAGAAGUAGGAGCAUAAUCAAGAUCUUCAGCCGAAUCGAAAGAUUCCAUUCCAUGGUUUACUUCAGCCUUAAUUAAGUAUCCAGGUCCUGUUAUAGUUGUUGGCUUAGAGUCUCUUUCUGUUCGCCCAGUUCAAGAUCCUAUUGAAUAAGAAGUGAAGCGGGAGAAGGAUAAGUUCGAGUGUUGUCUACUUGUUCUGUUGAAGAAUCAUCAUAAAGUCACAGGAUUUGGAAGCCCUAAGUGAAUGAGUAGAGUCUCGUAGAAACCCAGUAAUUAGAGAAUCAGAGGAAUCUUAAGGAGAAGGGGCCGAAUCCGAAUCCAAAGAUUCAAUAAAAGGUUGACAAGGCAAAAAGGGAAAGUUAGCUGCUCAAUUGCUAUUCGUAUAUUAGGAUGUGCAUCAAUUCUGUUAAGAAAUUUAUGGUUAACUUGACUUUAGCUCUCCAGAAUCAAUUCCUUCCUGAUGCACGAUAUCUUCCUAAAAUAAGUAUCUUAACGGUGCGAGUAGCUACGUUGCUUGUCUGCUUGGCCCGUUAGCGAGUUAGCACUUCCAUUCUAUUCCAAAGAUGGAUCUUCCGCAGGUCAUUUUAUUCCAAAGAUAUAGGUUUAGGAAGUAGAGUUCCAGUUCGUUCUUAUCUUAGCUAUGUCGAACAGAGGUCUGACUAAGCAAUCUCCCUACUGCAUAGAUUCCAUUGGGUAUAUUGGCAUAACAUAAGAAGAUGAAAUUACCUAUUGGUAUACUUCCAAAUAUCCCGAUUUAUUGUAAUGGUUGUUAAUGCUUGACAGAGGUCUUGGCUUCUAUAGAAUUAAGUAACAACACCAGAAACCAUAAAGAAAGAACACGCUACAAAGCUCAAAGAAAGGGGCUUCCCACUCACAAUAGGGAUAGCUGGAUCCGGGUUAGAAGCAACUGAAUUAGAGAAAAAAAGCUGUAUUAAGAGAAUCAGUAGCGCCGAGCCGAGAGAAUCUUUAGCACAUCUAUAACGCGAAAAACAGGACUCGUUUAAGAGAAUCGACUCUCUUUUCUCAGCGGGUCCAUGCUAUUAUUGCUCUAGAGCAUCUGGUAUAUAAGGUAGUAAACACACAGCACCCCUUCCCUUUAGCUUAGAGUCAAGGAAAACAUCAAUGAAAACCACUGCAAACUCGUAGAACUCCGAUAGGUACCUAACAACCCGACACCAAACUAUGGAUUUGAUUCAGUAUAUCGUCUUUUGUCUCCUUUCCUCGCACCCCAAGAGUAUAGUAUAGUUUACUUUAAAGCACAGCUCAUUCUUGAGUAUAGUUGGCACAGCUCAUUCUUGAGUUUAGUAGAGUGGCACUUUCCUCAAACUGGAACAAUACUAUCAUCUGGAACUAUACUUACAUAUCAAGCUUCCUAACCUUAUCCUACUUUUUAUUGGCUUCCAUCUAAAACGAAACUGUAAAAAACCUCCACUGGACUAAAAGGAGUACCUUCAAUUAGAAAUUCCACUAAGCAAGAAACAAACAGCCCCGCCCUGACUCUAAGUAAGAGAAUCCAUCUAGCACAUGAGAGAAAAGAGUCACCUAACCUACUAACUCAUUUAUAGCUUUUUUAGGGGAAUUUGCCUAACGCGCCACUCACUCGAUGAAGACCCAGCUCCCGCUUUUCAGAUCGAGUCGAUGUCUACUUUCCAUCUUCCGCUUAUAAUCCAUCUCUUGAUCCAGCAUAUUAUUGAGCCUCUGAUUCUAUAGCGGACAAUCCUUACUUUGCUCCAGAUCUUUGUAAGGCUUCCUCUUAUCUACCGACUUGGAGCUACUGCAUCAAACUGUUAUUUAGUUAUGAAUUUGUCCGGGUAGUCCUAGUAGGAAAUUCCAUUCUGGUAGUCCUAGUAGUCAAUUCCAUUCAGAAUAAGGGGACUCAAUAGCACAUAUUGAAAUAGAAUAGGUAACCUUCCAACCAUUAACUCUUUAUCGCCAACACUGUAGGGGCUCUGUCAAGGAGAGGACUCGAAAAGGAAUCACAUAAACUUAAUGUCCCCGCUCCAGCUAAUUAGAGAGGUUGUGUUAUUGAGGUCGGGUCGGGUGCGAGUUAAGCUAUAGGGUAAGUUCUCAAGUCAGGUUAUAACCGAAAUCAGUAACAAUCAGUCAAAUCGGUCAUAGCUAAAUCUCAAUUAAGAGUGAGAGAGAGGCUUUGUUGCGAGGUCGGCAAGGGGACAGCCAAUCAUUGAAUGCGCUAGAUCUAUCUCAAUUGCUAUAGUAUUCAUUUAUCUAUGAUAACCCUCAGGCUCUCCCGCCAAUGAUUAUGUUUCUUCUGUUUAAACUGCAGUUGAAGGCUAAUUGUGCUGUUUAUUCCGAUAUACUCGAUUCACACUUUAGAACUACUGAGCAUACUCUACUUAAACACUCGAUUCAUUUGGAAUUCUCUCUUAUCUCCAGAAAGAAAGUGGAGUCGGAACCCCUGGGAAACUUCCUGCCCAGGACUUAGAGAACUAUCUUGUUGCUUUGCCCUAUCGAAGAGCGGAGAUUGUGAUUCCAUCUAAAGAGCUCACUAUUUCAAGGUUUAUUGCUAUCAUUCCAUACUCCAUCUUUUUAUUGUCCCCGUUUGAGUAUGCCGCUCAGUAGUCCCUUACCUUAGUAGGAGGGAAAGUCAAAGGAAAGGAGGAUUAAUUCACGGAUGCCCUGCCCCUAGCCCUACCAUGGAAGAAGGAUUCUAUAGAGCCGCCCUAUUGAGAAAAACAAUAUGAGCCUAAGGCCAAGGAGGACUCAAUACCAUAAGAAUCAAAGAGCUAAAAAAAGAGAAAGUAGAGCGCAAAGGAAAGAAAAAGGUGAACUGGAGCUCCAACUGGUUUAGCUUAAGACUAGAGAGGACUCGGCUGGACCCCUUUGUUAUAUUCAUUGUAUGGGGACUUACUGUGCUCUUAUUUACUUAUCUAUUGUAUUGUAUAGACAGUGUUCUCUUAUUUACUUAUUCAUUGUAUGGACGGACGUGACUGUACUUCUUAUGGACUUACUCAUUGUAUGGACUGUGCGUGCCCUAUUAUUUAGAUUCUCAUAGUUAUCUCAUUCUUAUUACCCUCUCAUCAGUUAUUCUCUCGUAUGUAUCUUGUCCCGGGUACAGCUCCCUAACCUGCUCUUUCAACUCCAUUCAGCCAAGCAGACAAGUAGGCAAGUCAAAGAAAUUAGGGUUGACUGCCCCUUAUAGUACUAUAGUGAGAAUUCCGGUAUGAGGUAUAGUAGCCUUAGUUAGCUGAGAUUGAGUAUUGAUUGGCUUUACCGUGGUCUCCAAGCAUUAAGGUUCAGGUAAGGCUUAAGAGGAAGUAAGGAUGCCCGGCAGGAAUUUCAGGUGUUGGAUCUAAGCCUUAGAGUGGAGAUGCGCAAUUGGAUAAAGAAUAGCUAGAAUUAGAUUAAGGAAUGGCAGAUCAAUAGGGAGUCUCUAAAGUCUUCUUUCCCAGUUGAAGUAGUCGAAGUACUUUUUGAUUCUAUCAGUUAGCAGCUCAAUUACAUCGACCCUGUUCCGAGUUGAGUUCACUGAGUUUCAUUGAAUUCCUGGGUCUGUAGUAGUUGCUUGGCCCUUCCCGCUUAUCUAUCUUACAAAAGAUGCAAUUUGUUCUGAGGCGUUAAGUUAUGCCUGUUCUUGUUUAAGAAGCCGUUCCGAAUUGACUUAAUAAGAUGCUUUAAGAGAAUCAGCAGCAGCCCCCAUAAGAUGCUUUAAGAGAAUCAGCAGCAGCCCCCGAAAACAGAGGACUUACUCCAGGCGAAAACGAAACAGGUUUUGUGUCUUUACUUGUAUCUACACCACAUGUGAAAGAUAGAGAUAGAUUCAAUUCAUCAAGAAGAUCCUCAGCGCUCGAAACUGCUUAUUUGAAUGUUUUCCUCGUCUAAACAAGUCCUGUUGCUUCUGUCUAUAAGUCUGCAAGUAAAGUAGAAAGUCCGCUUACAGCUAGAUUCUUUCAUUCAUAUUACAGCUAGAUUCUUUCAUCUAUUAUCUCAUAUGCGAGGAUUUGAUUAAAGGGGCUCAGUCUAACAGGCCCAACUCUGCCUUGUUUGUGGUUUCCUGCAAGUUAAGUAGAAAGUAGAGUAUCUCGUGUAAGUAUAUCGUUUGAACCCUUAUAGUUGUAUAGUAGCUCCCGUUAGCGAGUUAUGCCGACGCUUCUAUCUAUGAUUACACAAUAACUCCACGAAACUACAAGGACUGUAAGCGCCAAGAGUUUGCCUUUUGCUAAGUUCCACUCAUCAAAUGUGGGCACCCGCAUCUUCACUGAACCGACCCAAACUUGACUACUCGGGAAGGUAAAGCACCCGAACUCAUGAACUUUCUGAACUGACAACACAAUAGAACCUCUCUCCACGACACCGCGCAUCAAUUGGACGACUUAGAUCACUUAGCGCUUCUAUAGGAGAUGAACUAAAGCCAACUCCUCUCUCGUAGCACCUAGCAAAGACUCAAUCUUUCCUCUUCUCUUGCCUCUUCUCUUGUAUUGCCUCUGAUCUCGUAGACCUAACUAACCCGGCUUCCGCUCUUUAGAACUCUACUUUCCUGUCAUUGCUACUGACGACUUAUCUAUAUCUUUCUUCGUAUUAAAGAAGUAAGUAACCAACCAUAGGCUCUUUCUCCAAAGUCAUCACCUUCCAAUAAGCAGUUGGAUAGACCCACAAGCAAUUGCAUGUAUUCGACAUUAGUAUAAGCCAACUCCGUAAGGCAAGAAAGAAAGAAAGUAGAGGUGGGAAGGAAAGAUCAUCUGCAGUACGCGGGUAGGGUCAUAGUGUUCUCUGUUGCUGUAGAAAGAUAAUGAGCAAGCCCAGACUCAUAGGUUAGGGCGUGAGGGAAGGAAUGAACAAAAUGUGCUCCGUUCUGAAGGACACUUUCUCCUUUCCCAUAGUGAUAGUAAUGACCUCCUUUCCCAUAGUGAUAGUAAUGACCUCUUAAGAUAGAAUGACUGAGUAUAAAAGGUAAGGUAAGGAAAUCCCAUCUCCUCUGUAUUCCAAUUGAAAAGCAGGUCUUAAGCCAGCAUUGAGUUCCUCCGGACUAAAGGAUUACUGUAGCUUUCUUUACAUUCUCGUAAGCACAACCAAACUAUUCCCAUUCCUUAAGCUCGCUAGCAUACCGUCUUUCUAGCUUGAAUAGUGAAAAACGAGCAUCUAUCUUUGUAAAGAGAAAGGCUCCUCCUGAUCUUGGGAAGAAGAAUCAAAGUAGAGCGAUAUGCCCCAAAUAGUCCGUUAGAAUGAGUCAAUGGAAUCGUCUCGGAUCUUCUCUGGCUACAACUACUGAUGAAACUAAACUAAACUACUACUCGUUUGGGCAAGAACUAGACUUUCCACGCCUACCUCGUCUCUUUGAACUCCCCCUCGCAACUUUGAGCUAGAGCACCAACAACUGGAUUACCAGGAACUUCACCUUACCCAGUAGCAGUGAAAUCUCAUAACAGUACUAUCGGGAUGAAACCAGCUCUGACCCUUAAACUUGUAGUUUCGUAGUGACUUUCUCCUUGUAUUGACUGGAAAGAAGAGAACAGAUGAGCCACAGGUAGAUCAGCAGAAUCACUAGACGUUACUCGCCCGCAAUCUCAUAAGGGAUCUUUUCUUCUUACUAACUCUCUUGCUCUGCUCUUGACGAGACUCCGGUCUUAGAAUUAUCUACCCUGGCUAAUGAAUCUGUUUACUCUACCAAGUCCGCGAGAGCUAAGCCUCUGAUUCCUUACCUGCUCUUGCAACUGCUACUACUGAUUCAUUCCCAUUUGACUAAUUCCGAGUGGUGUGGAGAUAUAGGUUAUAAUGUUCGAGGCUUUGAUGCGCUAAGUUAAUGCCCAGUUACAGUUUACAGUGGAGAAUUGCCUGUUACAAAAGAAGAAUCAGAAGAUGAACUAAUACAGGAAGAAUGAAAUUGACUACCUAAUGAAAAUGAAUAAGACAAGUAAGUAAGUAUUAGACUCCUUGAAAGUAGCGAGGGUUGGCAGUUAGGAAUAAAUCCAGUCUAGAAACUCCCUUCCGAGGAAGCCGGGGAAGGUAAUAAGAAAGUACAGCCUUUGAGGCCUGGCGAGGUAUCUUCACUACUUUUCGGGUCCUGGCUAGCUGUUAGGGGAAGAAAUGUAGUCCAGGCCCAGACUCAGUGGAAGGAGAAUCCGCAUCAGUGGUUGUAGCCAGAGGAGAGUUAGAUUAGUAUAGGAGUCAGAGCCAGAGCAGAGCCAGCAGCUUGUUUCCUUCUUAUUAGUAGUGGUAGAUAGGUCGGGUCGGGAAGCAGUUUAGGAGGUGGUCAAGUAGGAGUGGAAAGGAAGCCUUAGUGAGCUCCUAGGGGCAGAAUCCAAUCUCCAGGAAUAAGCUUGAUAAGCUGUUUCAAGAGAGGCACAGGAUCUGAAGAAUCAAUUCCUUCUGCUGAAGCGCGGUGAAGUGUAGCUCUUGGGGAAUCCAUCAAGUCCAGGACCUAUAUAGGUAGGAAAAAGGGAGUUCCUGAGUGAAAGGGAAUAUUCUUGCAAUUGAGUCCGGUCGAAAUGCAAAGUAAGAGGAAAUCCACUUUCUGUAUUUGAUCCUUACCUUACUUAGCUCCCUUCCUUCUUUCUGUAUUUGAUCCUGACUUUACUUAGCUCCCUUCCUUCUUUCUUUCUACCCUUAAUGAAACAUUAGGAACAAGACUACAACUGCGGAGGGAGUUUCAAGAGCAAGUCCAUUUGCUUAUUCUGCUGACUCACCCCCUACUUCAAAGAACGAUUUUUCUGCUGACUCACUACAAUAAGAACUAAUUGAUGCAGCUUCCUUAGUUUACUUAACUUAAUAAUAUCAUCUAAGUGAAGCACCCAUCCCUAAGCAGCUAUAUACUUGGCUAAUGCUAUAGUCUUGUGCAACACCACUAACACGCGCAACACCACUAACACACCCCGAAACUAAAGAAUAUCAUUGAGUGCCACACAUGAUAGAAACAUAGUAAUAACAUCAUAUCAUACUUAUUGCUUAUAGAAACAUAGUAAUAACAUCAUAUCAUACUUAUUGCUUAUAGAAGAUAGGCCAAAGCUUGUUCUGUUGCUUAUAGAAGAUGGGCACCCCUUGCCUUGAAAGUCCAAGAAUAUGAUAUAAGAGGGUCCUUGAAAGCCAAAGAAUAUCGACACCUGCCACUAUAACCACUAUAACCAAUAUAAUAACCACUAUAACCACUAUCACUAUAAGAAUUAGCUCACUUUAUAGGGCUUGUUUUAUUUAGUGCAAGAGAAUGUGGGUUUCAUUUAGUGCAAGAGAAUGUGGGCACAGUGGAAAAAGAAAGGAAAGGGUAGAUAUAGAUACAUUGCACUGACAUAUAUGAUGAUCUCAGUAUAGAUAUAUGAUGAUCUCAGUAUAGUAAGUAGUAACGGCACUCUUGAUUCUAAGCAUACUCCUUAUUCUAUGCUCUAAAACUAUCUAAGCAAACUUUCUAAGCAAACUAUCUAAGCACACUCCUGUCCUAAUUAUAAGUUAGUUAGUUCAAAACUCCUUCUUCCCCCUUGCGCUUACGCUUAUUGUUGUUCGGGGCACUAGCACUUAUUCGAGUUCUGUUUGCACGUUAGCGAAUUCUACUUGUGUUCCUUUUUUUGUAAGAAUAUCUUAUUUAUUGGCAGCUUCGCCCUAUCUAUACAAUCAAUAUGGUGAGUACUCUCUUUAUUGGCAGCUUCGCCCUAUACAGCGUAGGACAGAUACACCGUUCUCACUUAUGGAAUUUCUAGAGACACCGUUCUCACUUAUUUCUACUGUGUAGGACGGAGACACUACUAUUGCGUAGGACAGAGACACUACUAUCCCUCACUUUACUAACUCACGUUAGCCCUUGCUUGCUUGUUUUAGUUUCACACCCCUAUACAACUCUAUGCUUACAGCUUGUUCGUUCCCUUGCUUUAAUGAUUUUCUUAGUUUACCCAUUAUGUCAUUCAGGCCUAACCUCCGUCAGUGUAAUUCCCAAUAUGAGGCUUAAGAAAGAUAGACUGCUUAGGCUUAAGAAAGAGAGAACACCUGCUUAAGGCAGACGAACCUAUAAACAUCUUACAUGCAGGCCGGAGGCAUAGUUUAGAGAAUAUAGAUGUAGUUUCAAGACGAGAGAUAUAGUUUAGAGAAUAUGGAUGUAGUUUAGAGACGAGAGGUGGAGACGAGAGAUGUUGUUAGGAUAGCUAUUUACGGGUGGUACCUAUUUCUUAGAGGGUAUAGCGAGAUAGUCUAGCGAAAGUUUAGGGUGAACUCACUAACGCUAGGCAGGCAGCCGAACCCUGAACAAGAGUCAAUCAAUUUGAUUGUUCCAUCUCUGAACAAGAGUCAAUUCUGUUUCUUGUUCCCUCCUUUUUGAAUGAGAAUCCAACUAGGAGGAAUUCCAUCAGUGUCGAGUCGAGUGUUUACUGUGAAAUCGGUUCUUCAAGCCUCAUCUCCUAUCUUUUCUCAUGCCCACGUAGACUAUGCGGUGUGUGAAGCAUCUCUGGACUCAGUUUGCGUGUCUCUUUACUCUGUUGUGUGCUUAUAUUCCUUUUGAAGCUCGGUUCGGUUCUGAAAGUGGAGUUGAAUCGUGUGGUUCAGUUGAAAGAGAGGAAGCUGUAGUAGAUUCAAAGUAAGGAUCCUGGAUGAAGUGACUAUAUAACAAUAUAUAGUAUUUGUGUGCACUAGAUCAGGCUCCCUCCCCAAGUAGGACUUUGAUUAUUGUACUUACUAUUAUAAGCCUUAUACUAACUUACAUCAUACCAUUAGUAUCAGCCAACAAAGCCAACUACUCUACCUCAAUUCGAACUUGUAUAUUUGUCCGUGCUUGUAGAAGCCCUUGUUACAUCCUUUACAGUAGUCAUUUCUGCCUUUAUUUACUGUCUCUCAAACUUCAAACUCCGGGUUUGAGUCUUGCUUGUAAGUGUGAGCUUGCCUUGCAUUCUAUAUCUCUUGUUUAAAACGGACCCUCCUUGCUUCGUUCCUGCAUUGGGAGUUUGCCCCAGCUACACUCUUUCGAUCCGGAUCUUCGCUCUACUAUAUCUUAAGCUAGCACUCCGGCGCAUCAGGCUUACUUUCAAACCAUCUCUCUCCUCAAAACAAACCCGUUUCUUAGCCAACUGAGCAACUAAUAUCACUCUGUAGCUCCCCUGCGCUUAGUCUUACUUUAAUAGCGAGCAUUCUCCCUAUCCCUUUGCCUUAACUCUUUAGUUCGGAGAUCCACUAGGCUUACUAUCUUGACUUUGCUUCUAGGACUACAGAUAUGGAUCCUUUAACAAUAGUAAAUAGGAGAAAGGAGCUACUGACAGGCAGACCUUCCCUACUAACUAUUAGAAUCGAACACUACCAAAAAGAAGAGAACCAAAAGUCAGACUGAAACAAAGAACUAGGACUUACCCCGCUAACUGGGAAUACGCUCCUGCCACGUGAAUCAAACUCCGCGGUAGAAGCAUCAAACUGUAGAGGAGUACCCGAGCCCGAACCUUGCUUUUCACACUUCCACUAUGGUAUCUCUUUCUUUUACUCCGGGUACGAUGUAGUACAUCUACUAUAUUAAUAGGAAUAACCUAAUAGGACUAGAGAGUAUGGGUAUGAUCUAAAGCUCAGUAAUAGUAAUAUCAUAAUAGUAAUUAAUAUAUAAUGAUUGUUUCCAGAGCGUAGUAAGAGAAUCAUUGGUGAAUUUGAACUAAACAGUAAAUCGAAGGAAUAAGUCAAAGAAUACGAGUUAGGAGCGGGCAAAGUUCACUACAGAUUUGAGGGCAAUAGUCUAAGUUUAAGAUAGAGGAAAGUUGGACUCGAGCUAACAGGCGCGAUGUGAGAUCUGUGGUUGAAUUACCAGUUGGGAGCUACAGCGUUGACAGUAGUGCAAUUCCUUAUUAAAAGCUUAAUGCUGAGAAUCAGUAGUCAUAGGCUAAGAGAAGGAGAUACUAAAACAUAGGCAUUGCGUGGACAACUACAAGAGCGAGCCCGAGGCAAGUAAUAAUAAAUGAAUGUCAAGUCGGAGUCAAAAUCCACCCCCAAAGUGAGGAUACAGUGAGGAGGCUCUGUAUAGAAAUAAGGACAGAAAGGAGGAUACGUCUACAGGAGAUGUGACUACUGGGUUUAGUGACUAUUGGGCUUAGCUCUGGUUAUGCCCUACGCCGACAUGGCCCAAAGUAAGUGAUGGUAACUACAACUAUACUUUAAUAAGAAUCAGAAAUCAAGUCAAAUAAUCAGAAAUCAAACUAACAAGCGAGGCUCUAAGCAAGCAGAGGGAGAAUAAAGGUAAAGGUAGUAAGCCUGCGAGACAGGAAAGCGAGGCUCUGGGUGGUUAGUAUAAGAAGGCCUGUUUUGCAGGGUAAGGCCCAUAGUAAGUAGUAGCUCAAUCCCUUGUUGGUAGUGUGUUUCUUCUUUUAGGCAUGGGUUUCUUUUUAGAGUCCGUAGUCGCAUGCUAACAAUCAAAUAAUACAUAGAAUCCGGGUAAUCUAGUUCCAUUCUUUGAGUAGUACUGCUCAGCGUAAUCAGCUUUAAGUGCAGUAGCGAAAGUCCCUGUUCCGAGUUGGGUUCGCCUAGUUGGAUUCCCUUUCUCUUUGUUCCAUUAUUAUAGGAGUCGUUUCUUUUGUCUGUAGCAAUAGGAGUCGUUUCUUUUGUCUGUAGCACUGGGUGAAGUCUGUCUGCGCUCUCAACAAAUACGGAAUUGAUCCUAUAGGGCUUAGCAUCUAGCGCACUGGAAAGUCAAAGUGAUGUAAAUAUCCAUAUUCUAAUGAGAAAAGGAAUAGACCUUUUGAGUAUAGUUUCGCAUAAAUAACUAAUUGAUAUUAUAUAAAUGACACUGAAUCAAUACAGGAAAUACUUUCAAUAAGGAAUGUCAGGUCUAGUUCUGUGCGUAAAUGCGUAAUGGAAGGUCUAUAUCGGUGCUAUCUCAACUCUUUAUUGGAAGUUCAAGUGUAUUAAAGCACUAUUCACAUUCCCGGCCUAGAGUAUAAGAGAAAAGAAUAACAACAAAAGAGAGAAUUCAAGCAGAGGUAGUAAGAAUAAGAUAGAGGACAGCUUUAGAUGAAGGUGUAGUUAUAUAGCCUUAAAAGCAGUAGAGCAAGCCCGAGAUCGAGUCAUGGCAGUUCCAUAUGUGAGUUUGGGUGUGAGGUCUGAUGGGCAGUGCUUCUAUUCUGUGUACAUCAGUGAAAGCUUUGUUAGCCGCAGUUGAGUUUCUUAGUUCGAAUCCAAUUCUAGUAAUAGUAGUGAUGCUCUUGUUAGCGGUGGGUUCGGUUCAGUCAGUCUCAUAUAUAGCAGUUUCAGAAUUGAAGAUUGAUGACGCAUAGUCAGAUUCCAAGUGCCGGCAGCAAGACUAACAGGUGAAAGAAAUACUUUAGGGCGGUUAGAGGUCAGCAGGGGAAGUUUUCAACAAAGAAGUCAGCACCCCCGUGAGCAACUACAGACUGAAGUCCAAGAGAGAAAGACCUAUAGACGGGAAAACAAGGCUCUAAGCAAGGGCAGCGUCAGCAGCGAUGGCUCGAGCUGCAGAACUCAAGUAAUCCUUUUAAGAAUAGGGGACUAACCAGUCAAACAAAUCUUGAGGGGAGUGGCCAAGUACUAAUAAGAACGCAAGAAGCAAGUAGUAGACUCAAGCCUAUAAGCAAGGAUACAGUUUAGCAGUACGGGAAUGGAAGCUGGGGCAGUAAGGAUGAGAUCGAGGUAAGGACUGGCUUGCCAGCAGUAGCUCAAGUUAAGUUGGGCACUAUGGAAUUACAGGUUGUUAUGUUAGUACUCGAUCCCUAGUUUCUAGAUCCAGUAUUGUUGGCAUUGAUUCCGAUCUGUAUUAUCAAAGAAAAGUAUUAGAAGCACUAGGUCAAUUCAGUGGGGUGUGGGGAUAGAGUUAAGUCUUAUAAACAGUAGGCUAAGCCUGAUACGCAGUAAAGCCAGGAUCAAAGGCGGGGAGAGGGAUACGGUAAAGCAAGGUUCGAAUCAAUAGAUAGGGAAUUGAGAUAGGGCAGUGUCCGGUUGAAAGAAUGACUAGUAAGCAUGUUUGCCUGUACUGUUUGCCUUUAGUUGCAUUCCGAGAAGCAGCAGUGAAAGUACGAGAAGCACUAACUACUUGGCGCCAGCUUGUCUGCUUGGUUAUACGUGACUUGGCUCUCCCCUACUCAGUUGCUCUACUCCGGACAGAGGAUGUCUGACUGUUGCUCUACCUGGGACAGGAUGUAUUACUCAGGAGUUAUUACAAUGGAUGUAUUCAGGGCGGUAGCGAGUUAAAGGAUCAAGUGAGUUCCUUGUUGCGCGGCAGGAGCCCGAGCGAGCUUCUAGUAGAUCUUGCAACUAAUCAUUUAUUAUAUACUAGUAGAUCUUGCAACUAAUCAUUUAUUAUAUAGACUAUAUCCUAUUCUUCCUAGUUCUCUUAUUAUUCCUAUAGCCUAUACUAACUCAUAGGUAUCUGACUCAUAUAGUACUUACCUAAACGAAGUUAUUCAGACUACGAGUUCUCUUUUGACUCCUACUGAGUGAAAUUAUGACUUGCUACACCUUCAUUGCUAAACACAUGGGUGAUACCUACUACAGUUACAAGUCCUUAUUUGUUGCUGCUACCAUAUAAGUCGAAUUCUUUCUCUGUGAACUCCACUUUCCUGCAUCCCUUUUGCCAACAACUUUAUACCUUUACUUUAGAACUGAGCUUGCUGGUGUUCGACUCAAUAAAUAUGUUAGUAACAGUUAUUACCAAGUCCUUAUUUCGGGUUCAGAAGAUCAUAUUGCAGUCACAGAAUUUCUUUCAUCUAUCGCAGACUUAGAACCAAUAGCCGGAACUCUUAUGGAAUCUGGUACAAGCACAGCUCAUUCUUGAGUCUAGUAUAGUAUCCUUUCCUGGCACCCGACCUGUAAUCUAAUGGUUGAGCUACAGCGGCACGGCACCUCGAUUCAGUAUUAUUAAGUUGGGCUACUACUACUCGGGACUGCAAACCCAUCUUUUGAAUCUACUGGUGGAUCUGUUUCCGCUCUACCAGCUUACUUUUGCACUGAUCCUUCCACAGUGGAAUAUCUGUCUCCUGAGUCUGCGGAUUCUCUGGAAACGGAGUCUUCUCCUUUCGAUGUAUACUUUCCAUCUGAUGCUUCGGAGCACUCGGUGGGUCGCAUUCUUUAUUUGGAGUGUGAUUCUGACCUUGGAGUGAAAAAGUCCACAGGCUUCUAGCUCGACACUUGUUUGCCUCAUGACUAGCUUAUCAAUUCUAUACCUUUCUACCUUAAUUCUUCUCCGAAUCUCCCCUCGCGCAGAUAUUUGUAAUUCCGAGUUGGCGGCCGUACACCAAUGCUUCGUAUUCUGCUUCGUUGUUGGGAGUAUAGCCGUAUGGCCUGUUCCAAUCGCAGUCAAGAGGAGAGUUAGAAGAAGGUACUUUGUUGAAUCAGUAUUUGUAGUAUUAGUUGACAGCUGGGUCUACAAGGGAAGCAAUGGAAGGUUGCCAGCCCAGUGGAAUCAGUAGUUGUUGAGAGAGUUUAGGUAGGCAAUAAAGUCCAGAGUCGAGGUCGGCAAGAGAAUAAGUCUCGUCUCUUUCUUUGGCUUUGAAGCGGGGAGUGUGGAAUUACCUGGAAAGCUGGGUGAGUUAGGUCUACGAGAUCAUCACAAGUCCAGUAACCUUAGUAUAUGAGUGAAAUUAGAACCUUAGUUGCGGAAGAGGGAUAAUGUAAGUAUAAGUGGGUAAGUAACCCUGCGCUCUGAACCAACCCGGGGCCCAGUACAUGCUCUUACUUGACCUAUCUAUCCAAUUUGAAGUCAACUCUCUUCUUUAGUACAGGACCCUCCCUUCUUAGUCCGAAUGAAGUUCAUUGUUGCCAGUUUACAGAGGAGAAGUAGAUGAGCCAUAGGGAGAUGAGCCAUAGGAGAGGCAAGUUUCAUAAAGGUCUGCAAGGGAAGCGGUUAAGGAGGUGGGCAAGUAGGAGUUACAGAAUUGACCUCAGUAAUUUCAUUCAGUAGUAGCAGGGGAUCAAGAUCAGAAUGAAGCCAGUAAGUCGUUGCUUGCUUGUCUGGCUUUUUCCCUUUGUUGUCUCCGAGAGAAGACUCAGUGGCUAAAGGGGGAGUUGUGGAAGAAUUGGUUCCUCAGGAUAAGUAAGGCGCUAAGGGAAGUUCAUGAGUUGAGUUGAUUCUGUUCCUUUCCUAAGCGAGUUGCUUGGCGCCCAUAACUCUGACUAACGUAUUAUGUGAGUUCCGACGCUGUUUUCCAAGAAAAAAUAAGAGAUGAAAUAGUAAAGAAAGAAGUAAAUACAUGGUACACGGCUUCUUUAUAUACCAAGUGCUAAACCCAAGUAAGAAAGAUAUUAAUUAAGGUAGAGUUGCCCGCUGGGCGAAAUGAGAACUCUGGCCAAGCUACUAAGUAAGACGGCCACUACUAAGUGCUUAGUUGGAGGCUUUGAAGCUAGAAGUACUAUUGAUCCCAGGUAAGAAACAAAAGGAAAGGGAAGUAGGAAGUCACAGUCACCGGCAAGCGUAUACUAGGAGCAAGAGGAAAAGGUUAGGAUAGAGGUAAAGUUGCAUCAGUAGCUUAUGCCAAUGAGGCAGAGGUAAGUAAACUCUCUUCUAAUAAGAUAUAUUCCUAUACAAGGGGGCCAAGCAACUACUAGACGCCAAGCAACGGCGCAAGCCGUUGUGCGGCAGUAACAACAAUAGUAAGUUAUAAACUGUUAUUACUAGCUAUGUGUUCGCUGUCGCGUCAGCGAGCUAUAAUAGCGGCAGCCAAUAAACAGUUAUUACGAAGUUAUUACAAUAGAUGUGUUCGUAGCGGUAAGUUAAGUAAAGGUAUCCAUUCUAAGAAGGUAGUGUCAGUAGUACUAAGAUCAGAAUGCAACUGCAUAGUGACAUCGGAGGAGCAGCCCUACCGCUACACAUUAGUAGUUACUUGGUGCAUCUAGUAAUUGAAUGACAGAAUUGACCUUAGCACUGUGUAGGGGGCAUAGGAAUAGGCAUAAGGAACUUCAAGAAUUUCACACGACAGGAGUAGAAUGAGUGCGGUAAACAAAUAGUGCUUCUUAUUGUCUUAACUCAUAUUCCCUAGGAACCGUACAAGCCUGAGACCUCCAACUGGAAAGAAUGGAAUUUGCAGGGUUGAGAUAAGAUCUGAUGCUGCCGAGUGGGGGUUAUCCACUCCAUGUGUGAAGCAAGUAGUCAAUAGAGAAUUAAGCAAGUAGUCAAUCUAUCACCUUUGUAGUCGUGUCUUGGCGGGUAGCUGGCUGGGUGUUAGAGAUUCAAAAGCAGCUUCUGGUCUUGGGUGUACGAGAUGAUAAAGUAAGUGUAGUCUCUUUCCCGACUCCGCUAUGGGAGCCGAAUGAAGGUAUCAAACGUAAGAUCUCAAGUCUGGUAUAGGUGUGGGAAGGGCCAAGCUUAGUAGUGGAUUUAUUAAGAAUAGAGUUUACGAACAGGGCAAGCGACUUACCGGCUAGAAUCCCUUUCAUUAGUGGUUGAGAUAUAGGUUCUUCUGUUCGAGGCGAGGAAAUAAGUACUGAAGUCCAGAAUUGCUAUCAAACCGGGUUUCUUAAACUUCCCUUGCCUAGCCAGAGGUACAGGAUAGAGGUUCAGUUGAAAGUCUAGUUCUUGCCCCUUUUAGUAGUGCUCCUGUUUCAAAUCCUUAGUCUGAUCCCAAUAGUAUAGUAGUAAAGAAGAAAGAAAAGAAAGAUGUUAGGAGUUACAGAGUUUGUAAGGGAGUUAAUUCAGUAUGUAUUAGUAAGAGACUGCCUACAGCGAGCUAUGUGUUAGUUGAGCCCUACCCUAGUGAAAGAGUUAGUCUUUGAGUGAAUUAUAGGAGUGAAAGAGGAAAAGUAGAUGAGCCUAAUUCCGUUAGUAAAUAGAAAAUGGUAUCUGCUAGGCUAGGCUAAAGAUUCCUCCCCGACUCAAAGGGGCAAACAACUAAACGACAAGCAAAAUAGUUAGAUGAGAUGGAGGCAAGAACAGAACAGAUGAUAGAAGUAGAUGAGCCUAAUUCCGUUAGCAGAGAGGAGCCUCAGCCCACAGUUCCUUGUCCCGUUACCAAAACCCAGGUGUUUGAGAGUUAUGUACGAGUCCUGGUGUAACCAGGCUUUCUUUUCCUUUUCUAUCGUGAGAACAGAGCCGCCAUUUAGUUCUCAGUUCGCAAGCCGCCAUCGCAGCCGACGCAGUUCCGUCUUCAUUCGAUCUGAGCUCGGUUUCAGUGGUAAGAAGAAUUGGCUCUAUAUCGACUGAAUCACUCUAUCUAAGGGUUCAUGAGGAUAUGUCAGUUCAGCGAGAGAGAACAGAACGGGGUAUAAUACCUUUCUUUACACGAUACUUUAGACUCCACUUUCCACUUCGAUUGAACAAUAGAAUAGGACCAUAAACACUAAGAAUUGAGAAAUGCAAACUAUCCACGCUCCGCCAAUAUGCUAAUAGGUCUCUGCCCCCCAACCAAUAUAUAUAUAGAAAGAAUUCAUUAUAGAAAGAAUGAAUGAACCUAACUUCGGGCUAUCAAGUAUAAGUGACGAUUUGAUGGAGUAUCCUCCGCCCUUUCUCCCCCUGUGUGCUUUCUUUAUGAGAAUGAUGAAUUGGAAUUGUUGCCAUUAUCCUCUGCUCUGCCCCCAGUGUGCUCUUUAUGAGAAUGAUGAAUUGGACAUUCCAGAAGGAGAUCUUGUCACCAAUGGAUAGGUUCUUGUCUGUAGGUAAGCAGACCGUGUAAGCUAGAGUGGCGAUGCAGAAUCCUUCAUUACAGAUCAACUCACUUUCAUUAUUCCUUUCCUUAAAACAGGGCCGCAUCCGUGAUCAGGUCUGAGGGAAGUAGCUCGUGCCCGAGUCAAGGUAUUUGGUUUUGAAAUGCCAUAUGAGAUAUGUGGAAUUCGGGAAGAUACUAUGGUUCUCCUCCAGCAGUAGAAUAGCACUAUAUAGCUCUAUUUUCUCUUAUGGUCUGAGACUAAGGAGAAAGGGUAAACUCAACAAGCAACGGGCUGAGCAACUCUGAGAGCUCCUACCGUUUCGCUCAACAAACAACGGAACGAAUAACUACUAACGACCAAGCAACGGCGCGCCAAGUCACUACGCUUCCCUUUCCUCUUCUCCGGUCUUCUACUUACAACUCGAAACUCCUGCUCUGACCACCUGUUCUCCACUCCAUCUUUAUAGCUUCAUUCUGCCUAGCUCACCUCUCUAGCUCACCUCUUAGUUCAAUCCUUACUUUCCGACUAGCUUACCUAGCUUAAGGAGCUUCGAAGGCUUAACCGAAGAGGCAGUCAAUAGGCCCAGCUACACCUACAAAGGCAAAGAGAGAAAGAAACAUAAGAAUGUAUUAGUAGCAGCUGUUACCAAGUCUCUCCUCCGAGUCCUUGGAAUCUACUUCUCAUAUAAGAGAGAAUGCAAGUGGGAAUUGUUCCAGUUCUCAAGUAAGCACUAACGGGAGCAGAUCUUUUCUCAUGUCCACUAUAGAUGUGAAUAAUAUAGAAUAUAGAUAUAGGUGCCUCGUAUGGGUCCUUGCCAUGUGUUUCGCUCCUUUAGCCCUUACCCUUAAUACAGGUGAACUCUGGAAUUGUACUCGCUCACUACUAGCAGGAUUCCCUCGCUCACUACUCGCAGGAAUAGAAUGAACUACUUUGCUAUCAGGCAAGCAACGAGACUCUACCGGACCCGCCUGUUACUGACUUUAGAGCACCCAACACCCGGCUAAGGAUUGAGUUAAUUAUAUGACAAAUCCUCCAAUGAGUCUUUCACUCCUCUGUCUUGUUCGGAUAGCCUAGAUUUAGCUGUAACUAACUGACUUAUAAAAGAGAGAUGAAAAAGUAAGUCAAGUAAAGUAUCUUUCUGUUCUUGAGCAAGUAAAGAAGCUAGUAGGCGAGUUCAUAAGUAGAAGACCGCUUAGACCUAUAACUGAUUUGCUAAAGUAAGCAGUGAACGCUCCUAUUAACUAAAUGAGGCUUAUCUAACUCCUUGCAACAAAGACAUAUGAAACGUUACUAUUGACCCUGACCUUUUAACGGCAGAUUCUCUCGUUGACUUAACUCGUACACAAAGAGACUCAGACUCCGCUUAGCACACCUCGCGCGUACACUAGAUUCUUUCCCAAGAAACGUCACUUGCAGAAUUGACAACACCACUCGCACUCGCAGCUUACUGACUUUCUACUGUCGAUUCGGGAGCUUAACCUCGCUUAGGAACUCGAUACUUGUAGUUGCUUGUUUCAAUUGGAUGUAGUUGCGUGUCACCCGUAGCUUGGCUGUCGGCGAGUUGCUUCAGCCCUAUAAAGUAUAGUAUUAGUUUUCAAGUUCCAGUUCAUAACUUCAAGGAUAGGUUCGGUUCAGAAUCAUCAAGUGGAGUUCGGAAAUGCAAGUUGAGUGCGAGGUGAAUCUGCUCUCUUUUCUCCUGAUUGCCCGUUGCAUUCUUACUAGCAAAGGUUUGGUUCUGAGUAGCACUAGUAUCAGGCUUGGGCGAGUGGAAGUGCAAUUCUGAUCAAUGUUAGCUCCAUUCCCGAACAACAGUGGUUUCGUUCUGAGUAGCCCCAGCACCAGUCUUAGUAGUCACCGUUUAAGCCUUGGAUUCGCUGGCUUAAGUCUGUCAUGGGCUUAGUUCAUUCUGAGUGGUACCAGCUCCGUUCCCAGUAUGCCCAGCACUUGUUAGAGACUUGGACUCCCUUGUUUCGUUCUAUCACUUAGCAGCUCCCUUCUAUCACUUAGCAGCAUCAGCCUGAGUACCACUAGUUACAUUCUCGUUGGCAGUGCUUUAAGCCUUGGAUUGAUUGGUUUCAGUCUCAGUCUUACUGGUUGCAUUCUUACUUCAGAUGCGGGGAAUCGGUGGGAAUGCGGUGAAUCGGUGCACUCCCUAUAUAGUAGUGGGAAUGCGGGCAAUCGGUGCACUGACUUCAUUCUUUGACUCCUAAGUUCCAUUCUUUCAUUCCUACUUUCAAGAAAGAGCACUCAAUCGGGCAGGCUUGGAGUUAGUGCUUUCAGGCUUUGACUCCCUGCUUGCAUUCUCACUGCCACUGGGGUAAGGCUUGUUGGUAGCAGCUAUAGCCUGUAACUCUCUCGGUUAAGCCUUGGACUCCCUACUUUCCGUCUUGUUGGCACUUGUUUCAGGCUUAGCAGACACCGCUUCAUCCUUUGACUACCUAGCUACAUACCUAGCAGGCGCUGUCUUAGCCUUACACUUACCGGUUGCAUUCUGGUUGUGACUNNNNNNNNNNNNNNNNNNNNUCCAAUGUCACUACUAAUACAAGGGAGCGGUCUUCAACUCAGGAUGAAACUAACUACUACUGAUUCCACUACUCUACCACUAGUUUGGGCAAGAAUGUCACUUUCUGCUAACAGACCUCGAACAAAGCUUUCUGUAUCGAUCUAACAAUGAAGUAUGACUUUCCACCUGUAUCGAUCUAAUAAUGAAGUACGACUUUCUACCAACAGGCUCCCAAAAACAGGACUUGGUUAUCCAUUGCAGAGUAGCGGGAAGGAAACUCCAUUCUUUUAUUGGAACUGAAAGGACACUGUUAGCGGUAAGUCAACUCCAUUCUUAUGAGUUAACCCCGACCCUCCAUGGUGCUGCCUACUUCCUUAUAAUAGAAGAGAAAACUCUCACAGGAACAGGGCCAAGCGCGUAUACUAUAGUUGCGCGGCAGCAGUUAUCUUGUUCAAUUCUAAGUGUUAUACUAGUGGCGAACGAGGGUAUCAAGCAAGCGGGUCUUCAGUGAGGUUAAGGCGUGGGGGCUUGGUUCUUUAAUGAAACAACUCACUCUGUAGUAAAAGAAUUCCACAAGGCAGACUACUUAUUGGGUCUAGUUAGGUCUAGGAAUUGCACUCAGUAUUGACUAAGCACGAAUGAAUAGAGCAGUAGGCAGAACACAGGUGAACUCUGAAACAAACAAGUAAAGACCCAGCUCCAAAGCCCCUGUUUCUUACCAAAGAGUGAAAAGAGGCAUAGGUCGACAAGGGAAGCUAUUCAAGUUGAGGUCGAGGUCCAGUAUCGAGUGUAGUUUCAGAAGACCACUUCUUAUAGUUAGAAGAGUUUCUACCCCUUAUAGUAAAGGUUGGAUAUAGAUACUGGUCAGAUUACUAAUACAUACAUAUAUACUCUAGCUCGAAAGAAAGAAGACUGUCCUGUUUACUCGGAACAAGACUCAGUGAGAGUUGAGGCAAUCCGAUCUUCUGCACUCUCAUCUCAAGAUUCCAUUACAGUUUGACUCUAAGCAAGAACAAGUGAUAGAGUUCCAGAAACAAACUUAGGCUUUAGAAAGGAAAGGUGCGCUUACAGAGCUCAACGUGUUGUGCUAACGGAGGGCGGUAGAGAUUAGUAUUUCCAAUUCCAUUCUGAAAAGGGCGAACAUGAGUUUGUGCCAGCAGUAAGAAGUCGUGAGUUAGCUGGUAGCUUUGUAGUCAAGGAAUCAAUUAGUGAGUCAGCAGUUCGAGAAUCAGCAGCGGAAUUUACUGUUAGAGUAGCAAGUCCAGGAGAAGAAUCCGUGAGAGUGAAGUCAACGAUACCAGAAACAGGAUCUGUGCUAAAGAAAGGUGCUGGCGGGUAUCAAGCAAGCGCUUCUGCAAGUUAAGAGUGCGCAGUCGAGGUCGGCUAAUGUAUAGGAAAGUCGAGUGCAAGUGUCAACAGCAGUUAUGGAAUCAUAGGUUAGGUCGUUAAGCAAUCCGAUCUUCUGCACUUGAUAGAGAAAAUGCAUUCUUUGUUUCAAGUGGAAGUUUUCGUUUCAUAUAAAUACUUUACCACAAGACAUAAUUGACUACUUGCUUCACACAUGGGUCUACUCCCCGGAUACAUAUAGCUAUACAGCAUCACAGUUCUCUUACGACCCUUUCCUUGCUCGCUCUGUUAUCAAUGUCAAUUAUUUGAUAGUUAACAUAAAGGGUAAAGUUCGUCAGCUGCAUAGAGGCUCUCCUACUCCACGGAGACAGUAGCUUCUUUUCUCAUCUCCCAAUAAAGAAUACAGAAUGAAACUGAAACCGAGGAAACCCUCUUAUUAUUGACAGCUUUAGCGUCUUUGCUUUCCUUGCUUCUUUGUCUUUCAAGUGUGAAUUGAACUCACACCGGACUAACGCCAUGAAAACAAACAAGACUCGGGCUACUAUAGGAGUACCCUAGUUUUUCGACUUUUCUUCUUUUCUUCUAUAGAAAGAAAUAAUCUCUUUUCGAAUGAUCAACUGCGUCGGUGCUUGUUGAGUUCACCUUAAGAAAUGAAGGAAGAAUCUAUUUUGGAAUGCUCAUCUCCACUGCCCACUACACUUGUUCGGUAAAGUGGAAACAAAGGGUGAUGAAGGUAAGAAGAAGACAACUUGUCCAUAAGGGCAAGCCAGCCAGAUAUGGUAUUGAAUGGAACUCCUAACUCUGUAAGAAUAAGUAUAAGUAUUAACCUCAACACUCUAAACUCCCGAACACAGGAACUGUUAUAACCGCCAAGCUACAACUAAUAAGGCGCAACUACUUCUCUAUUGACUCAUUGCUCCACACAUGGGUUAUACAACUUGCUUAAUUGACUACAAGUUCUCUCUUUUCUCUAUGACACUCUAUUACAAUUCCAGUUUUCGUCAAGCGUUAGGAGCUACACCGAGCCCUUGUAUGGAAAGAGAGGUUUUUGGAUAAUCCGCAGCGCCGAGGUCAGAUGCCAGAGAAAAUAAAGGAGUUGGCGACAAUAGACCUUUCUUUAAGAAUGGAGUCUAUCCAAUAGUACUGGCUUUGAAGCUAGUUACAGAAUUGAACAGCAGAGGCCCGGAGUGAAACCAGUGAUACUAACUUGAAGAAUGCAACCGGAUAGGCUCGGAAUAGAGCUAGUGGGUAUCAGUCUGAUGCUAUGUAGGCUCGGAAACUAGUGAAUCCAAGACUUAAACAACUUUCAAUCCAGACUUAAGCCAGUGCUAACCAGAAUGAAGCCAGGGAGUUACAGGCUUUGGAGGCAGACUCAGAAUUGAACUCACUUUGGAGGCAGGCUAAGAAUUCCCCUAAGUGGACUCGGGCCAAGUAACGGCCAAGCAACUGGACAAGUCACUACUAAUGUGUAGCGGUAGCGAGUGAAAAGCGGUAGCGAGUUAGGGGCCCUAGUGGUUUGGUUCUAUGACUCCCUGGGUUCAGUCUGUUCGGUGUGAGUUUAAGCCUUGGAACUCCGCAUCAGCCUUAGCUGCAGUGGUUGAAGAAUAAGUAGCACCCGAACUUGACUUGAUAACAGGCUAUUCUUCUCUCGUAGACUUAGAGCUAGAGCACCAACACCCAAAGAGGAUGAUCCGGAGCCUUAUCCUUCUCUUUUGGAUUUAGAGACAAUAACCAUAACUCUCCUUGAAACAAAUCAUUAUGAAACGGAAACCCAUACUUCAUCGACACUGAUUGAAUUCCUGUCUUCAUCGUCUUCGCUAACGGGAAUAGAUCAUUCCUAUCUUAUAUGCGCAGUGGAUAUAGAUUGCAUUAUGAAUACUGUUUUCUCUAAGCUAAACCUAUGUUCAACGACGAAACCCUAGUUUACACGGCACGGCUUCCUUCGCCUUAAUGGCGCAUUAGCUUAUUGACUGAGCGGUUUCUUCUAGCUUUAUUGGAGUCUCUUUCUGUUCAAAUCUUUGUCGUCUAGAUAGGGUGGUUAUUGGCUUUCCUUUCCCUUGUUUCGGGUGCCAGUUCCUUCAUCUUUUAUUGAAUACCAGUUCCAGAGUCACUCAAUCACAAGGCUUGCUAAAGAGCUCGCACCCACACUUGUUGACUUGUUCCUUUGCUUAUGGAAUUGAAUAGGGCGGCUAUACACAUACAGAAUAUCGUAAACAAACACUAGAGCAGAAUAUCGUAAACAAACAGCUUUGCAUCCUUAUCCUUUAAGAGACUCCACUCCGUAUUAUGAAUUGAGUGCACAAAAGAAAAGAGGAGAAAUAAGCGUUCCACUGAUGGAAUCAUGUAAGUGGAAUAUAGGUGAAACAACGCAUAAAGGCCAUAUUGUCCCGAUGUAGUACCCCGCAACUCAUUAUUAUGUUGAUUCCUAAGCUUGUUCCAGAAACUAACUGUGUACUUUAUCGUCCAGCUGCUAUUCCUUCUACUUUACUUCUCUUUCCGCCGGUGGAAUUGACUUUCUAUCCUGGCUAUCGAUCUACCCCUUGCUUGUUUACUAGAAAUAUAUAUAAUGGAUUUACUAGCAGCAUAGCUUUCCUUAUUUACUAGCAGCAUAGCAGCAUAGCUUUCCUUAUUUACUAGCAGCAUAGCAGCAUAGCUUUCCUUAUUUACUAGCAGCAUAGCUUCUAACAAACAAGGGUCCCUUUUGCUAAUGUGAGCUUUCGGGUCGGGGUGCUUACAACAGUUCUUUCCCUCAGAUGGGCUGGGCAUAAGAGAAAUUAGUACAAAAGAAGAAAAUCUAACUCACACAUCUUUAUAGAAAUGAAAGCAUAUUACCACUUCUGUUAUACGAGACUCCUUUCUGGAUAUGAAGACUUAUAAUAUACUGGAACUCCCUUCUUUAGACUAUACUUUGAUACUGGGGACUUUAGACAAGACAAUACUUCGAGCUGUAGGCGUGAAGCUCUGUAGGCAUAGUGUUGAGCUACCUAUCUUGAUUCCCGUGAGCACUAGUGAGCACUUGUGUUCUUUCGAUCUCCCCGUUGCUUCUUGCAUUCAUAUUGAUUUAGCGGGCAGACGAACCCUAUACGUUUGUACUUAUUUAUUCCAUUCCCUCCUUAGCCCUUGCUUGAAAUUCCAUUAUUCUUGAUUUCGGUUCCCUUGCUUGUUGAGUUUGUUUAGUUCUGCACACUUGGGAGCUUUAAUAAUCCCAUUUUGUGCGCUCAUUCUAUAGAAUAAAGUAACAACACCUUACUAUAUCCUCUUGCUUCUUUCAUUUCUUUCUUUAAUGAGUGUGCAACAUAAUCUAAUAUAUGAAGUUCACUGCCUAUUCCUAGAUGUCUAUUCCUAUAUGUCUAUUCCUCUCAGUACAGUCUAUUCCUAUAUUUACUGUUCCUCUCUUUACUGUUCAUUCCUAUAUGUGUAGUCAAUCUCUCUUCUCUCAUCUCAACUCGCUAACGUACUUUGGUGAAAGCGCUAACUCACUAAUGGCUUCCCUAAAGCGAAUUACUUACUUGUGGAACACAGCGUAACUGCUGACACAAACUCACAGCUUUGCUUCAAAACGGAAACUACCUAUUAGUUGCUCGGGUGCUAAGGCUUAUUCUUUUGCUUGAAAACGGACUCCUUACAUAGUAGUUUCAUCACUUAUAUCGGCAAAGGGUGAACUCAACUCGAAAGAAAUCAUAUUUGAGAGCGCUUCCACACAAUAUAGAAUCAAGUAAACAACACUGCUUCCAGUAUAAUGAAUUGUUCCACUGUAGCUCAAACAAAGUAAAGGUAUACGAGUGAAGUUCAAAUAAGUGCUAGUUUCUUCUCUUUUCUUCCUAAGCUUGUUGAAUAGAGAGAGACAAAACAGCAUUGAUUGCAAUGCAAAAUCAUUGAUAUCGCGAUCCUAGUCUUUGCGAACCCUUAUAGUGCCAGCUCUUUGGCAAAGUGAAGUUCGUUCAGUAAACUCUAAAACUCAAUUUCAACGUUUGCGAGUUAGGAGGCUGUUCCAAAGCAUUUUUGCCUCGAACGAAAACGGUAAUGGAACUUGAUUAUUGAAAGCCCAUUAACAGAAAUCGACUUGUAUUCCGUACGACAAGAUGGUAUUGCAGGAGAAGUCAAAACACGAACUCUGCUUCCAAAACCCUAGACUCUCGCUAUACUCAAAUCCAGAGGUACGUACCACCUUACUACAUCUCUCUCCGUAGCACCUGUGCAAAGUACUCUCUCUAUGGUUGUUUGGGUCUUUCUCGGGCCCUUACUUGACUCUAUGUUGGUUGUUUGGGUCUUUAGCAGGCCCUAUUGAUAUAAAUUCCGCCUUUCUUAACUGCGCUCAAGGCGAUGGAUUACUAUUACCAUAAUCUUUGACUUUACUUACCCACGACCGAGUGAACAUCUGUUCUUGAAUCAGUAGCAUUUGGGCCGGGGUAUUCAAAGUGGUGUUCCGGAGAAAGGCCAAAUUCCAAUGAUUGACUCUGUUCAGUUCCAAAUUGGAUGUUCACUGGCUUGGCUUCUUAAUGAUAACUUCCCCGCAAUCCUUCUGAGGUUGAAAACAAAUACUCAAUUGAUUCUGAAUUUCUUAGAGUGGAGACUCCCCUCAUGGGUACUUGAAAUACCUUUCCAAUUAGUAACAAAAAACAAGAAAGCUUCAUAUGCUGUCUCUUAGUAAAAUCUCGUGAUGAUCGAGAGCCCAGCCCCUAUGGUGGAAUCUACACUCAAGUGCGGUCCGUCCCCUUUCUUUAGCAAUAAGGGAUGAGCAUAAGGUCUGGCUGGCCUAUUAAUAAGAUUAUUCUAAUACACAUAUGGGUUUGCUAUUCUAAUACAAAUAUGGCCGUUGCUUGGCCCAAUAAUAACUACUUUAUUGUUGUUGCUGACGCCUUUAAUAAUGACAUCGAUCCUGUCUGUAUAAAUGAAUAGGGUAUGUGCCGGUCAAGAUAAGGGUUUUGACUACUGGCCGAGUGAAGUGGGAUUCAUUCAGGAAAGGCAAAGUGUUUGGCCAUUCAUUAUCUUUAGUGCAUUGGCAAGGUUGAAAUAGCGGAAUUGCAGGUUGGGUAUAGGGCAAGUAAGGUCUUAACUGGGGUCGAAAGCGAGCGGGUUUAAUGCAACAAAAGUGCUUAUUCCUGCGAAUACAAGGUGAAUGAAUGGGUCCAUUACUUGAGAAAUAGCAUCUCCCAACAAAAGGUCUAUAAAUCGGGAGCUAUAGCAAUAGGUUCCUCAUGAGCGUAUGGACACUGGUGAUAGGCCGGGAUCUAAUAAGUCAGUUAUCUAGUCUAAAGAAAGCAAAACGUAAGUAAGGUCAAGAAAGAAGAAGCUUAGUCCCUACUUUGUGGAGCCUGGCCUGCCUUUUGGCCCGAUUCUACCAGCGCAGGCAAGUGGGAGACGAAAGCAAUGCACGCGACAAGAUUCAUUAAUUAUUGGGGGAUUAUAUAAGAGUGGAUUCGUGAACAACCUACUUUAUUCAGUCAGCACGUAGUAUUAGGUUAUUAGUGGAAUUUCAAGGUUCGCUUUCGUACGUACAAUGUCAUUGGUUGCUAUACUAUAGCCACUCUUCAUGACGCUUAGCUUUGAUUUCUCUUUCUUACUGGGGCAUUCUUAUAGCUACUAGAUUUCAGAAUAAAUGAAAUAAGAGAAGCCAAUUACGAACAGGGCGGUCCUUGCUAACCUCUUAUGAUCCUCCUAUCUCCGAGCUCUUCAAUCGAUUGCCUUUCUUUCUAUUCUAGUAGACCCAACCGGCGGUAGGCCCUAUUCUCGUUACUAUUCUAUUUCUAUUCAUUCAAAAGGUCUUGUCUUGGCUCAUUGCAAUUAAUUCUUCCAUACCAUGUUUUAUGACAAAAGGAAGCUGCCUCGACCCGUACAAAUGCCUCGCUAAGCUGGUUAGAUAGCCAGUUCAGUAUCCUCCAAAUAAUGGUAGACGUCUAUCUCCUAUACCUUCUAGCCUUACCAUUUCUAUGGUCUUACCCUUUCCCUUUAGCUUUGGAAGAAGAGCAAGGAUGGGAGGGAGAACUUGAAUGCGCUAUCCUGAGAGCUAUAAAUAGAAAUGCUGACCGGCAGGAUGAAAUCAACUAAUCCAAAAAGGGCUCUGAAGUUCAAGUUGGAGUUGGUUCCACUAUAUUGGAUAGGAAUUGAUAGGAAUUAGUUAAAGACUGCCUGCUAGUAAGUGAGGCAAUCGAUAGGAAUUAGUUAAAGACUACCUGCUAUGCUUGUAAGUGAGGCAAUCGAUAGGAAGGCUAACGGCGAGGUGCCAACUAACCUUUGCCCUGUAUCUCAAUCAAUCAAUGGGGCAAGUAAAGGCAUCUCUUUUCUUUCUCGACGAGUCCUCGUGACCCAAACUCUAUUUCUUCUGGCCCAUCCUUCUCUAGCCAGUGAAACCUAUAGGCGGGGCUCAUCGGCAACCGGUACCAACAUCUCUUCUUUCUUCUCAAUAGCAUAUGUAUGCCCCAGACUCUAAUUUGGGGAUUUCUCUUUUAGGAUGUUCAAGAUCUUUAAGGGCGCGCCUUAUUCUAAAGUCAUUUAUUGAGUCAGAUCCAAAGUAGAAGCUAUCCCCGAAGAACAUUGAUAGAAAGAAUGGAAUGCUAGUGUUUUUGCCUUAGACGGUCUUGUCUUUCUCUUUAUUUGUGAAAAUCCUAUCCUAUAUUCUAUUAGAAUGAAUGUGGUCAAUUCCACUAGAUUGGGAAACUAGGGAUUCUUUUCUGUUUUCUUUGAUAUACAAUGCUCUUCUAUUUGCUCUUGCUAUCGAAUCCCCUCUUCUCUUUCUUUGAUAGCCAACUUUCCCUGAGAAAAAGGCACUAGCUCGGGUUCUUUUACAUCGGCUUAGGUUCUUUGAUAGAAGCGGAUGGCCAUACGAGAAUUUCCUUCACAUGAAAAAGGAUCUUCUGUUGUUUAUGCAUAGGUACAACAAGAUCGAUGAUAAUAAGGAUAAUAAAGAGCUAGAGGAAAGCAGGAGAAGUAUAUGCGAUAAUAAAAGGGGGCUUAAUCGAAUGAGUAAUAUAUAUCUUUCACUGAAUGGAUGAAUCUGAUUCCCCAAAUGAGGGAGUAGCUUAGCAUCCCUAUUACCCUCAGGAAGAUAGGUGGAGAGAAAAGGCAGAGUGUCGGAGGGCACUGAUCGCCGAUCGGACCUAUAUGUAAGAGUACUAGACCCAUCAAAAGAGUACUCUUAGUCAGAUAGAUUGUUCCUCGAUCUGAUAACUCAGGGGCAUCAUACCGUUCUGAGUCUGAGUCUAAUACGCCGUAUUAUGAGCAAGCCAAAGAAAUCGACUCUGGCUCCAGUCUCCAGUAUUGUUAUACUAGGCUCUGCUUUCAAAGCCUUAUCCAAAAUAACUGCUUCACGGUCGGGGCCCAUACCCUGUAUAAAAGCUAGUUACCCUCACUUUAUUUACCUUCCCCUCCACUCUAAGACUAACUUGCAGGAAUGUGAUUCAAUUGUAAUUCGUUGAUCUUAUCCUUUAUGUAUUUGCCAGGAAUGUGAUUCAAUUGUAAUUCGUUGAUCUUAUCCUUUAUGUAUUUGCCAGGUAUGAAGGUCCCUCAGUAAAGGUUGUUCUCCUUGAAUACAGCUUCCCGUAGAGAAGACCGAACCCAUUUCUGUAUUUCUUAAUUCAGACUCAUCAUGCAUCACCGGCCUUUACCAUAUUCCUUUGACUGUCCAGUCCAAAGAUCCAUUUACAUUAGAGCAGGUCUUCUGUCGGCCUUCUUUCCAGUAUUUGGGCAAGCAAGUAAGAUAAAGGUGGCUUAGCUGGCAAAGGUUUCCGUUUUGGCUUUCUAAAGUACAGUGAAGUUCCAUAUUGAUUUAGACUUUAUGAAAGAUAGAAAGAAAGAGAGAUUCCCGCUUUCAUUAAACAUUGAUGAACUCGGGUAGGAAUUUUGUACUAAAGCAAAAGAAGUAGAAGUGUUGAUAGAGCCUGUUUCUCUCGCGGCAAAGCUCAUUAGACGAAAAGAAAGAAGAUAGGAUUGUCAGAGAUUUGAGUGGAAUAGAGUGAUUAAGCACUUAUGCCCGGUGUAAGCACGUAUGCUUUAGACUAAGAUAUUUCCAUUUGGAGACAGAAGGUUAGCAAGUCGGAUGUAUCCUAGCCCUGUAUGUUAGAAAAUCCGCUGCUAAAGUGAAAGUAGGAAUGCCGGUUCUUGGUAGAAUGAUAGAAUGCAUGCUUCUGCUUCUUAGACCAGGAAUGCCAUCCAAUCAAUACUAGAUUAUUGCUGCCUAUCUAUCCAAUCUUGACUAUUGACUAUAUUAUUGCUGCCUAUCUAUUAUGGUAUGGCUGGGGAAUUGGCCUCCAUGGUUUCGAGGACCCGUUGGUUAAGAAGAGGAAAGCGGCUUUCAAAGUACCAGGCUAAGCGGAAGUAACCCAUGCCAUACUCCCAGGAAAAGCUCGAACGACCUUCAACCAACACAGAUGAGUCUCCAAUCUCUAAGCCAAGGAAAGAAUCAGGGGCUUAUAGACCAGCUUCUCUACUUUCCCUUAACUUGACGCCUGAAGCCUGUCCAAGGGCCCCCGGAAACCGUGAAAAGUCAGUGGUCGAGGGAUACCUUGGAUCUUACCCCCAAAAUCUCUAUUGCUGCUUUCUUCUUUGAAAUGUUGGAAAACCAACCCUACUAACUAUUCCUUACUCAUCCUUAUUUCCAUUGAGUUUAGGCGUGGGUGUUCGAAUGAAUGAUUUUAUGCUUUCUUGACUAUGCUGUGCUCUCCUGUUGGAUCGCUUUCUUUGGUUGGAUCAAGGGCGCCACCACUGAAUCAGGCGGGCGGGGAAGUCAAGCAGUAAUAUAGAGAUGACCAAUACACUAUUCAAGAAGAGCAAAGAGGUUGUUAGUUAUUUAGUUAAUGGGUAAUCAAUGAGUAGGAGUUGCAUGGGAUGGAUCAACGAAGCGGACGACUACCAAUUCUCCAUUUGCCUCAUACCAGAUUUGUCAGAUAUUACAUUUAUUCGUUAGAUUGAAAUAGGGACCUUUAUCAUAGGGGAAGUCCCACAUUAGUAACAUGAUGAUAUGGCCCUUUCCACCUUCGGAAUGAGCACCAAGAAAGAGGAUGAUGUGUAAGCUUUCGGGAGGGAGAUCCUCUCUUAGCUAAUGUAUGCUCGAUAUCAGAUAUAGUGGGCUCGCUUCUCUUUGGGUGUGAAGCUACUGCCUAUCUAUUCUUUCCCCUGCAGUAAGUAGGCAGAAGCAAGCGCGAUUACCCUUUUCCUUUUAUUGUAUAUCCAGCAAGUAGUGAUACUUUCCUUAGAGCAGUAGGGCUGACGGCUUGAGAUGAGAGUAGCUCGCUUAUAAUAGUCCGAUAGUUUCCAGUCUUAAAGCAAGCGGUAUGAUUCAAUCCUCUUUACUUAUUUUCUUUUAAGCACCUUAGAACCCUGUCCCCCCUUUUAUAAAACAAACUAUUUCAUUUAUAACCUAUCCAAAUAUCCAUAGUAUGAGAAAAACCUAUCUAUCACAAUCAAUUUCACCUCAGCCAUUUCUCGACCAUAAAUAAGUCCGUGGAAUCUAAGUCAAAUCACUCUUUCCAGCUAGCCCCCAAUAGUAUUCCCCCACCACUUUUCGAGUUCCAAAUAAGGGACUAAUCAAAAGAAGGGACUAAUGGAAUAAGUUUGAUUUCAAGUGUCUAGGCCCUUCUCGUCUUUGCGGAUCUUGCCCCCAAGGAGUCCCCGGAGAGUAAGGAAGGGAAGAUAAGAGAAGAUCGAUAGUGGGGCACGCCCAGAAACCAUUGAUUCUACCAUUAUAUAGUUAUGUAUAAGACUCUUGGAAAUCAAAUACUAGUUCGCAAGUCACAGGUCAAGUACGCUUGGAAAGAAAGAAAGAUCCGUUUGGUCUUCAUUGGAAAGAAACAUCUGUUUGGUCUUCAAUAGAGUGGAAAGAAGAGACGAUAGUCACAGACCUUACAAGCUGCUGGUAAGAGUGCCCAUUCGUUUCAUCUCUCUGAAAUAAGGGUACCGUACCUGGAUUUAUGUCUUAUUAGUGGGUUUCCCCUAGUAACAAGGUAUAAAGUCAAGUAUUUCCCCCUUUUUCCAUGUGUUUCAUAAGCCCCGAUUUAGUAUGCCUAUAGUUAGAAUCAAGUCAUCCAGGAUUUAGUAUGCCUAUAGUCAGAAUCAAGUCAUCCAGAAAUCCACCAAGGUUUUGAUUCUCAUUUAAGUGUCCAGUGGAUUUUGUUGCUUUCGGGCUAGCUUUUGCUCCAUGUUCCAAGAGAGUACGCCUGCCAGCGAGUAGUUCGUCUUGCCAUACCCCUUUUUGACUUUCAAGGACGGAUUUUCAUUUUCCUAGAAUUUAGAAGAUUUGAGAGAGGAUCUAAUUCAUCUUUAGAAUAUAAGAGAUAAGAUCUAAUUAAUCUAUAAUAGAUAUUAAGCACAUUCCUUAGUCCCUAAAGCCAACAAGUUUGAAGCCGGUUAGGAAAGAAAGCGUUACUUUAAGUUCAGAAAAGAAUUGAGGAUUACCCGCUUGCAGCAACAGAACAAGUAGACUCCACUUUCCCUGAACUGAACGAACUUUCAACUUCACCUUUUGCCUCAAAAGAACAGAAUAUGGAAUUUCCUCGCCAGGCUUCCUCUGGGCUGGGCUUCUUUCUAGAAACUACGAUGAAAGUGGAACUGGGCCAACGGAAAACUAUACAUCAGGCAUCACUUAUUCCAUAUACCGCGCUUCAACAGCUCGACACCGCUACGUUACUUGAGACAAAAGUCGCAUUAACCCUAAGUAGGGCCUGGUAAAGGAAAGGGAGAAUGAAUCAAAUAAUAUAAUCAUAUAAAUAACAUACGAUAUAGAAAAACACACCUCAAUUAUGGAAUAUGGGGUUGAAUAGAAUUAUAUGAUUGGAAUUUAGGAAGCCGGUGUGCUAACGCUUAUUUGAGCGGGGUGCGCCAAUCACAGUAAGUCGCAUUUCGAACGAAGUGAAAGAUAGAGAGGGAUGUAAUAAGCAUUAACAGGGAGAUGCUUUAGCUUUAUUUGAGUUUAGGUGCUUUAGCUUUAAUAAGGGAAGUCAGGCAAUAAGUCUUAGCUGCUUGCUGUGUUUUUACUAAGUUGUUCUAUACUAUUCCACAAUUCCAUGAUAUUUGAUUAUUAAAGCCGUUGUCGUUGCGCAUUAGCUCUUAUUGGCUACGAGAAGGGCUUACUUGAGCGGGUUGGUGCCUCAAUCCAUUCUUUUAUUUGAACACAAACAAGUGCUUUUUAGAGUCAAGUAUGGAUAAAGAGCGAUCAGAGGUUCGCCUGCUGAUACAGAGUAUUUCUAGUGUUGUUACUAGAAUCCAGUAGUUUUCUACUUUUUCAAUAAUGAUUUGAUUGGGAAUACAAGUAUCCUUGUUUGCUUGUUAAAAGCGUCUCAUAACCCAUACUAACUAAUACAGCUACGUGGGGGAAGAAUCCAAUCCGCUUUUUGUUCAAAGGAGAUAUCUCCCGAGAUUAUUGGAUUCUAGUAUAAAAGUAAAGUCAAGCAAGGGAUUCGGUUAUUGUUGCGAUUCUCUUCUUUAAGUAAUAAGUAACAGGGAAGCCAAGCCGGACGUUUGUGAGUUAAGCGAGUUAGAGGGGCUUCAGAUCUUGCCUCUAAUCCUUGAGUCAGUAGUGAGUUUAGUCUUUACAUGGAUCUUAGCUACCUUUUCAAUGCCAAUGCCUGUUAAGUAAGAUAUAGUCUGCCCCUAACCCUAACUUUCACCUUUCCCUCAGCAGUUGAGAAUUCUGUUCCGAGAUACUUUACCACAUUAGCUUCAGCAGUUGAGUAUGAAGGAAUACAAUAUAGUGGAGUUGAAAGCGCAUGGUAGGCGAUAAAGAGCAAACAAUCUCUAUUGGUUAGGUACCAAUUUAUAUUCUCCAUAUCCAUUAUUAUGUAAUCUAUUAUUAUCCAUAUCUAUUAUUAGAGAAUCUAAGUUUAUAGCUUAUUGUUCCGGCAAAACUCCUAUCGCGUUCAACUCAACCACUUCUAACUGCCUGGUAAACUCUACCUGGUCAACUCUACCUGGUUAACUCUACCUGCCCUAGCACCUACCUACUCAAUACUUCAGUAUUCUACCUUACUCUAACAGCAUUAGCCACAAAUAAUUCUUCCACUUCAACAAGAACAGCGGAUUCUUGAUACUUUGGACUCUGAUUCUUAUUCCCGCUACGUGUGGGGUCUAUGUCUAUACCAUAAACCUUUCUUUUCUAGCGCUUCUGAUCCCGAUCCAGCUUGAUUUAGAUCUUUCUCCAUCUUUUGAUCCUUCAUAUGCUUAGGCCUAUGAUUCUUUGUACGAUUCCACUCAUUUACUUGCGCCAACAAACAAAGAGAAAAGUCAAUCAAACACUUAAGAGUCAAGAGAUGCUUCAUAGCUACUUGGGCAUUCUGAAAGAGGAGAUUCGGGUCCUGUGUCUUGUCUUAGUUUGUUGUAAUUGCUUGUCGGAAAGUCUACUCGAUCGGAAGAAGAAAGUACAGGUGUAGCAGCUAGCUAUAAGAAUCCAAGAAGAAAGUACUUGCUUUGAAGCAGGAAGCGUAGUUAUUGUGGACGGAGUUCAAGGCUUUCCCUUUGUUGUCGUAUCUAGAACUAUAAGCUCUGUUCGGUAAAGAAGAAAGUAAGGGUAUCAUGCAAACGGUUUCACAAGUAGAGUUAGGGCAAUAAGUUCUUCUCGUGGAGAGUAAGGAGCAAGUCUGGGGAUGGGGGGUAAAUUCCCUAUGUAGCGCUAAGAGAAGAGAUGAGUACUACUUAUCAUUUCGGUUAUAAUAUCGACCAGAUCAGCAGGAUCCGGAGAACGAUCUAAAGUAGAAGAAAGAAAGUCGACAUCAACGAGAUCAGGAUCAGAUAAAGCAGUUUCAAGGAAGUCAGCAGCAAGCGAAGGAAGUGGGUCUUCGUGCUUUUUCUCAUACAAGGAAGCUAGGUUAAGUGGAGAAUGUGCUUCUAAAGCUCCCGGUUAAGUGGAGAAUGUGCUUCUAAAGCUCCCGCCUCAAGAGAGGAAACAGUUGCUUAUAGUUUCUUUCUGGUCGAGUGUAAUCGUAUAAAGAAGACAGUUAGCCCGCUACACUAUCCAAUUUUGUAUCAAGUAAGUCGCGCUUGUCUAGUGGAUCUCGUAACCGUAGCGCUUGUCUAGUGGAUCUCGGUGUUGGCGCUAACCCGCUCAAAGUAGUAGAGUUAUGGUCUUCCAAUUCUAGUUACGUUCUAGUUGUUGGCGAUGAGAGAGAAAGAAGUUCAUCGGUUAAGUAGAGUUGACAGCAGCGUUCUUCUAGUGUUAUAGACAAGUUUCUUUCAGGUUCUUGUGUCAUUGUCUACGAUAGAAUCUAUAAUCCCUCAGUUGGGCCGUAAAGUCUCUUCAAUUGCAUUUCGUCUUAAUAACAUAAACCGUUGUCGAAGCCUAACCCACCCGUUCGCUUGUCUUUAUCGUUACCCUCGUUCGCUUGUCUUUUUCGUGACCUUAAAGCUUCAGGGGUACAAAAUUCCUAACCAAGUAUCACCUCGCCGAACGAUCAAGUAUCUAAGAGCGUUUUCCGCACAUAAGUCUUUCUCAGUUGUUAUAGCACUUUUAGGGCUUCAUGAGUCGAUUCAGAAUCUUAGGUUCUCACUUCACUUGGCGACGGACUUGUCCCACUCCUCGUAAGUUCAAGCCCCAGCCCCCCAAGGCACUCCUAAUGUUGGGCGUGAGGUCUUAUUCGCUAGUACAGAUGUUUCUCAAUAUCCUUAUGCAUCAUUCAAUCAAUCAAAAUGAUGUUUAAGUUGUCUGUAUCAGCGGAUGGGAGACCAAUGAGAUGACUCAUACAAAUAACACGGGAUGCAAAUCUAAGAAAGAAAUAUCAUAUUAUCGUAGAAGAAACUCAUAUUAUAUAAGAGUAUUAUCGUAGAAUAGUCAAUUAUAGAAAAUAGAAGUAUGUUAGGUAAAACAGCAAACGGGUAUUCCACUAUUCGUUCAAGAGGUGCUUCCUCAUAGAGAGGGACAGUUGAAACUGCACGAUCAUCUUAAAGAAUUGAUGAUUUUGGAAGUGAGAACAACUACACGAGAUGGUACAAGACGAAAUGAUAGGAGAGGUAAAGCUUUGGAAGCAUGAGAUGGUCUUGAUCUUAGUUGGCUGGGAAUUGGUAAUAAGAUUAGUUGCACAGCGGUUAAACGACGAAAAAACGAAUGAUUAGAAUGCUUGUAGAGCAAAGUAAUGAAACGAUUGGAAUAGAAGAUAGGGUAUUCGAUCUACAAUGGGCGAGUUACUGGUAGAGCGGAAUACAGCUGUAACAGUACUUACGCUCGUGUUGAAGUCAGCAGAAAUCAAUUGGACCAUCUGAUACAACGGGCGAGAAAAAUACGAGGUCCAAUAGGAGAAAAAUAGAAACUCCAAACAAGCAGAAGCGCGCCGGGAGGAAAUGGAUAAGGGUAAUUGUACUACUCGAACUUUACUGAACUUUCCAAGCCUAUACACAAGCACCGACACCUAUACAACUUUAGCACCCAACCCAAAGCAAAGAAACUCUACUUUAAGACGAAAACAAUACUUUCAGUGACUUCCCAAUAUCUUGCAGCUGAAGAUCUUUAUCAGGCUUCCUCUCUUGUUGGAGACUUCCUACUUGUAGCGGACUUUGCGCUUGCAGUCAAAAAGAUCGGACUAGCUUCUUGCCUUGCACCGAGGAAAACAUUAAUGGAUUUUUGAGCAACCGGUCCUGGUAUAGAUAUAAGUAAGUCAACUGCUUCCCUUGAAGAGAUCUUAGUCCAAUAACUAGGCCAAUAACUUAACUCGAACUAGGAUUGCACGGAACUGACAGAGACUCUAAACCAACACUGGAAAUUCCCUUCCGCGGUAAAGAACAGGAACUACAUUUGAAUCUGGAACAAUACUUUAUUAACCGGUUGAUGCAGACUUUGGCACUGCUUAUUAUCCUGUUUAUGAUCGUAAUUCCAAUCCUUCUAUUGUCGACUUGAAUGGAGACUUGGACACAGAGAAGAACUUGCUGCUUCCUUUAGCUUUAGCGCUUACUUUGAAACAGCGGAUUCUCUUACAGCACGCAACACCUCUAGUAUAUCUUCUAUUAGAUAAGUGUAUAUAACCUCAUAGAAUAUUAUAAGCUUCCAUAUGAUACUGAAACGGAAACGGAAACAGGAACCGCAUCCGCUGAAGCCACUUUGAAUUCCAUAACUUUCCUGGACACCGAACUUCUCUAGCCCGGCCUUUAGAGUCAUUCGCGUUAGCACUUAGUCUUGAUCCGAAGUAAACAAGAAUUGACAGUUGAUCGAGCGCCGAAGAGAACAGAACUCACAUGAACUUGAAACUUCCCUUUCUGCUUCGAUUGCUGCUUCAUCAGAUACAGCUACUGCGGAUUCAGAUCUUUCUCUUGAAACGAUAACUACACUUUCAGAACCAACCGUACUUUAACUCGCGCCCCGUCUUUUCAACAAGAAAGGGAACCAGAGGGAAAGGGAAUCAAGAAGCUCACAAGGAAAGCUACAAUAGCCACGCUUGCUAAUCGACAUAUUCUUAUACAAUACAAUAGGGUGGAUGGAAUUGAGGCGAGAGAUGAAGAGGACGGAUGGAGGUGGAAAUACUGGCAACCUAGAAGGCAGAAUUCUAGUUCAAGGGAGUACUCACGCUUUGCAAUCGGAUGGUCACUUUACUCUCUCUAUGAUAGUUUAGUUAAUAAGUUAAUCCAGAAAGCAAGGUCCUAUCCUAAGCUCAAAUAAAGUAUCGGAAAGAAUAUUCCAUGAGAAUAAGUAAUAGUACAUAUGAAGCUAAGUCUCCGGGCGGGGGCGAUGGAAGCUUUGACUUUGAGGCCAACUUAACUAUAGGGCGAUGGAAGCUUUGACUUUGAGGCCAACUUAACUAGAUAGGGCCAACCCAUUGUAAGAGUAUGAAGCCAAGCAGCUUGAAAGCUUCCGGAGAAGUAGAAACUCCAUCUAGUAGCUCACCCGCUUGCUAGCUUCAGGCAACAGAAUCAAUCUAGUAGGCUCACCUGCUUGCUCGCUUCAGUAUCAACACAGAAUCAAUCUAGUAGCUCAACGGCAGUUAUCAAUACCAAAUCUCUAUGUUUAAAGGUUGGUCCUCAACAGGAAAUAUUGACUCUGUUGUGAACCGCUUCUAAUAAUCGAGAAAACAAGCACAUAGAUUAGCCGCAAAGCGAGCACGGGAAUCUUUCCCUGAAGGCUCAAUGUAAUAUGUAUAGAGUUAUAACUCAGAGAAAGAAGAAUAGUGAAAACUCAGAAAGGUAGAUGCUAUAUUAUUAAUCACUUAGAUAAGGCAGCAAGCAAUGUUAUUAAAGUAUGAGACAGAGGACGAACGCAUAUAUACCAAGCCCGCACAUACUGCACCUUUCAAGAGAGUAUGCUUUAACUGCACCUUUCAAGAGAGUAUGCUUUAGUAAGGCAGGCAGGAUUAGCUUUCUAAUGGUAUGAUGUUGUUGGGCUUCCUAUAGGACUCGUUCUUACCAUAGCCCCGUGCGUUAAUCCCCUACUGCCUCGCUUUCUAAAUGCACCACGGCUGAUCCGAAAUUCCAAGAAGUGAUUGCUUUUUCUCUUUAUCACUCGAAAACCAAAUGCAGUGAGCUAAGUGAGAGAAAUAGGUAAUGUUGACCAAGAGUAACGGACUACGCCAGCAAGCACGGAUGAUGGUUGGUCCAAGAAAGAAGAAAUCUCAUUCAAUCACCCAAUCACUAAGCUACUAUGCUAGUUUUCAAAGCCUUCAAUCACCCAAUCACUAAGCUGCAGGUUUUCCAUAGAAUUUCCUUCCAUUACCCUGACUCUUUAUGGACUCCUUCUUUAGAUCCUUCCAUUACCCUGACUUUUGAUGGACUCCUUCUUUAGAUAGGUUCACUUCACACUCCAUAAUCUUGGAGGGCCUGUUUAUGGACUCCUAAUGCAGAUAGGUUCACUUCAGACUCCCGACUCUUAUUGCCUGCCUGAUUGCCAUUACUUUAUAGAUAGCCUUAUGAAGCGCCCUGCCCAGUCCUUGAACAUGGGUUAAACGACUCUUAUCGCCUUAUUGACUGCUUUCCCUUAACCGAGUUGUGCUAGUUCUUGAGCGGGUGCGGCCCAUAACUAAGGCUUAUUUGUUUGCUUGAGCGUGUGCGGAACCUUACUGCGGAUUCCUUAUUCUAAGUUAUCAAACUGCGGAUUCCGGACUUCAAAACUCACUUAUAACACACAACUCCUUCCCUUUUAUACUUAGACGAACUCACGUUAGCCCUUUUGUUGAAUGGAAUCUCAUGCACAUAUAAAGGAGGAGAGUAACCUUUACUUAAACUAACUACUAAGGCAUAAGGGUUCAAGAAUAUAGGAGAGUAACCUUUACUUAAACUAACUACCAAGGCACAAGGGUUCAAGAAUAUCUAAGUAUGUGCUCUGACUUAAAAGAGGAGCAUUGAGGCACCCCUUGAUACUCGAAUAAGCAUGAAUUCUAGUGAUAGGCAUCCAGAUACUCCAAUCAGUAUUCAUUAUAGUGAGCGGUGAAAGUAAGCGCUAACUCUUAACACACUAUGGAUAGGAAUAAACCAAAACAAACUACAGUACUUCGUUUUGCUAAGGAAAAGAAUCGAAUGCUAAUAAUCAGUAGAGAUUGCGGGAUAUGGGAAUGGAAGGGAUGUGAAAAGGUAGAAAAGGCCAUCUCUCCUUUUUUUGUCUGUCUCAAGAGCAUUAGAAAGAUUCGUCCCGGGUCGGGUCCCAGGUGGUUUACGACUCGCGCUGUGGUACUCUGACGUGUACGUGCUGGAGGCAGGAGAAGAACAAAAGGGAGAGGGAGCCCCGCUGAUACUUUCCAGUUUUUAGCGUUCGUAGUUCGUAAAGGAGGAUAGAACGGUUUACAUUGAUUGUGGUAUAGGGUUUACAUUGAUUGUGACUUUAAUACAGAAACUCGUGUCCUUAUGAGAAGCCAAUGAAAGAAAUGCAGUAAUAGAUUCAUUUCAUACAUAAACUCGUUCUUAUGAAAGAAAUAAGGUAAUAGAUUAAUGGAAUGGGAACCCAUUUCGAAGCGAAGCUCUCUCGAAGCACAAGAAGGAAGGUAGGCGGGGAAGGACAGAAUAGCCGCUUUCCACUUCAGGACUACGCAACACGUGAACUGAACCCUCUAAACGCCUUAAUAAGGGGCGCUACACUCCAUCCAUACAUAAAGGUGAACAACUCUAUACUAGUUUCAAGAGGAUCUACUACGGAAUCUGCUAAAACGGUUCUAAUGAGUUUCCUUACUCUUUAUUAUCUCAAACAACGAGCAAAGUGACGGGCGCACCUGUUGCAUGAUCCUGGAGACAGUCUAUGCUUCUUUUUCUCGUCUUUCUCCUCUAUUCUGAAUUGAUUGACUAUUUGGACUUUGUCAAAGAAGAAGCUUCGCUUCCUCAUUCUACUUUACUGAAAGCGCAGCCAUUUCAUUUGCUUUGCCAGUCUCUCCAAUCUAAAGCAAGAGAUUCAUUAUCCAGUUAAAGCUGUGAGUGUCGGGUGCCAAUCUAAUUCUCCAAGACUUGUAACCGAGCAUCGUUAGCAGCAAUUGGAUAGGGUUUCGUCUUUGAACCACCUGGUUUAGGUUUACAGUGGUAUUGUUUGUGUUUCAGUCUGCAAGGGAAGCAGUUAGGUAACAUAAUUCCCUCAGUGGUGCUCGAGAUAUAAAUAAGUCGAAAUAAGAAGUCUUUGUGUUCUCUGCGCCUAGUACUCCUUUAGUUUGAGGCGGGCUGGGCUCUCAUUACAUCAUUAAUCCAUAAUUCCUGUUUUCUGUUGCAAGUUAAAGUACAGGUCCACGACCAAUCUGUUAAGUUGAUUAUGCAAAGGGUCAUAUUCUAUCAAGAUACUUGCCGUAAGAAACUAGUGCUGUUGUCGGUUAUCCAAAUGAAUGAGUUUCUUCGUAUAUAGAUAUGGAUGCUGUGCCGAAUUAAGCUGUUAGAGCAGUGGAAGAGGAAGCAUAAUUGCCAGUUACAGUUGAGUCUCCGAGCCAGUUACAGUUGAGUCUCCGAGAGAAGAAAGGCCUGUUCAAAAGUCAUUUACUCAAGAAGAAUCUAAAGCAUACGUUGCACUUGCCAGAGGCGGAAUGACAAGUUUCCGUUUCAUCUAUAAGAUCAUCUCUUGGCGAAUGAGUGCCCACAACUAGUCCUUUCUUCGUAGUCAUCUUAAGCAGUGUGAGCUCACCGUAUGAAGAGUAGAGAUCAGUAGAGUAUAUUUCUGUUCGAGGUUAAGAGUAGAGAUCAGAUCUUAUCGAAUACCAACGUUGCAAGGAUCUACUCAUUGCGCAAUAAACAAGUGCUUUUCUCGAGGGUCAAAUGCCUUUAAAGAGCCAUAGGGGUAUUAAUAGAUGUGUGACCGUUGUUUCCCAUAGCAUAGGUCCAAAUUCCCAGAAAGAUGCCUUUUCUCGAGCGCGGGGCACUGGUAUAUCUCAUUAUUAAGCAGGAAGGAAGGGUGUCGAAAAGUGUCUAAACAGGGAUUCCACUCUUACAGGCCAUUCUUAUGCUUCAUAUCUUUUACCACUGGCUCCAACUCUAUAUUCGAGUUCCGACUAAAACAACUAGUUGGACUUCUUCUCUUUUCACUCAAAGAUAUGUUUCUUCUCUCUAGGAUUUCUGUUAAGUUCUUGUUUGUUUUCUUGCACGUUCACUUUGGAUUCUAAAAUAGGCCUGGACGCUUACUCGUACGCACCAUCUAUUAACCUUUGUUUCAUUUGUGUCAGUAGAAAGGGCGAGAACAAGUGUAUGAGUGUAAGUUGAAAGAAUUAUUUGUGUCCUCUGCGCUCGAAAGAGCAGUAAAAGUAUUUGUGGAAUUUAUGGUUUCUAGUUUACUAUACUAUAGAUUUAGUCACAGGGGGAAGUAUAGUAUAUAGCUUAAAUAGUCCGUCGUCCAAGUAAGGAUGCAGGCUCAAGUAAGAGGUAAGUCGCAUCCGCUGCUCGAGUGUUGUCUACUGGAUCAGAUGCUGUGCUUUGAAAUGAUGUUCUACAGUCCCGUUCGGAUGCUCAGUCUAGUUCGGGUACACGGGUGUUGGAUCUUCGGCAGUACCAGUUCAAUCCAGGUUCGGUGCUGUAGCUCAGCUCCUUGUACAGAAUACAGGUAGAUAACUUCUGCCAGCGCCAAGUCAAUGAGUGGAAUCCCGAGUUUCAUCCUAUAUAUAAGAAGAAUAGGGAACCCAGAUCUUAAGCUUGAUCAUCAGCAGUUUAGUAUCAAGGUGUUGUCGACUCCCUUCUCGCUCUCUUAGUCCGUUUCUUCUCCAUUGUAGUUGUAUAUUAGACUCUUAGUAUAAGCCGAGGAUUCCAUUUAUUAGGUCUCCACCACUAUUACAGACUCAUCUUCUAUACUAGGGCUAGAAAGUGAUAUUUGGAUGGAAUUGUCAUGCCGUAGAACAUACUUUCGGGUACCCCAAUUGUGUUUAGGAUUUGCCAUUCUCUAAGUUCACCCUGGAUGUGAUGAAACAAGAGCAAGAGACUUAUAUGGACUCCGUACCGGGGCUCGGGCUCCUGCCGUGCAACAAGAACAACUGCCGCGCAACACACACUAAGUUGAAGCUCCUUUGGACAGGCUCGGACACAUUGAGUACACCCUAUACAUGUAUAAGAAAUCCUUACUUAAUGUGACAUCGGAUCUAUCAUUUUGGAAAGACGGGCAGUCCUCACGUUAUUGAACUCUUGUCUGUCAGUGAGUGAUUCAUAGUUUGUGUCAAGAAGGGGGCAUAGCGUCUCAUCUAUUUAACAAAUUGGUGGAUGUUUUGUAACGAGAGUGGAUUCCUUUUGGGGGUUCUUUGUCAUUCUGCUAACCUGAAAGAAGGAAUGAAAGAGCAGCUCCUGUGGUAAACAAAAGGUGGAAUUAUCCGGACUGUACGGACUAUCAUCCGAUGAGGCAAAAGGAGGAUAGAAAGUAGAUGAUAAAGGUCAGCGACAGUGGACGUUACUCUAGCGGAAUUUCAGUCUAUUCACAAUGAGAUAAUAAUUAUGAAUGUGAAGUGUGUUCGAGCACAAGGUGCUUCAAAGCGAAAAAGAGUCCUCUACUUUGACUUUGAAAGCUCACUAUUGUAUCACUGUCCGCUCGGGUUCUUCUCCGAUCCGGUCUUUUUUUCAAAGGGAGGGAAUCAAAGUAAAGCUAGGCUGGAAAGAUGUCUUUCCCAGUCUCCCAAUCGCCCCACCCAGCCGGAGUUUCUCUAGAGUGCAGCCAAAGGCGAAGAGAUUCUUCCAUAACCAAUCCAAGGUAUGGAGGAAGCUUGUUACUAAGAUCCCUUGUUUGGUAAUUAAUAUCCCAGGAUACAGGGUUUCACUUCUUUGUCACGGUUUGUGAGUCAACUGAUUCUGUAUUGAGCCGGCUUUUACAAACAAGCCCUAGUUAUUUUUGUAACCUCCAAGAAAGCAAGCCAAAAGUCCUAGAACUAGAAAAGCGAUAUUUCCUAGGUAACAUCCAAGGGAUGAAAAACGGACCCUACUUCCUGUGUACUCCACUUCUUAACUACUAUUUCUUAUUGUUGCCCCUCAAAGCGGUAACCGGUGCACUAAUAAUACCCUUCCUCUCGGCUAUCUCUCUUUCAAUUAACGCUAAAGGCAUGUUCUUUAUUGUAGAUAAUAUAAUCAAGGUAAUUCGAGUCAGAGAGAUAGAUGAUUCCAUUUCGUUCUUUACUUCAAGUCAUUCUCAGAGGCAAAAACUGGCUUAGAUGAGCUUCCUCUGCUAAUGGAUAGAAAUCAUGGCAAUCGUUGGUGCAGAGUUCCAUGCAGUUAGAAGAAGGCUUUUCACUAGCCUUGAUGAAAGCGACGAAGAGCGAGUCAAGAAUUCGAUUACCACGACAGAGGGCCUCGUGUGUUUGUGAGAGAUAGCUCCUAGUUCUGAAUGAACUGCUUCGAGCGAGCUGCCCUUAUUAUAUGACACAGGAUGUUCAACCCCAAUUAUGGAACUAGAAGCACAAGGCUCGAUAGACCUUAACUAUACUCCUCUGGAAUGAAGUGAGUCUAUAUACAACUGGAAUGAAGUGAGUCUAUAUACCAUACAAUAAAAGAGAAAAGCGGAUCUUGAUAGAUUGCCCUAGCCCUGCCAUCAAUCACUGAAGAAGGAUAGACCUUUUGAUACUUCGCCUUUUCUUUCAUAUGGAAAUGUCGCCAAAUGCUUGCUCUCCCGAAGCUAUGAAUUCCCUCUUUCUCGGGGGCUAGCGCAGCUCUCUCUUGUAUUAGCUAUAGGGUCAAUCCGACUAGAUCUAGGGUCAAUCAAAUCAGACUGGUAAAGAGGCAGGAAUUAUCCAAAAUAGGAAUGGUAGGCUCAUAGGCUGUAAAGCAAGACUAAAGAAAAGGAAGGGCUGCCUAACAUAGGGGUGUAGUAAGUCAGGGUUUGUUCCCUAGGAGUGAAGGCUAGUUUUUUGGAGUCUCGUAUUGCUAGCACCAGUAAAAGUCUGAGUUAUUAUAUUAAUGCUUCUUAGUAUGUGCGCGGAUGUCGUACCUGUCUUCUGAUUUCCCAGUUCCACUCUUAUUAGUGAUAGAUGCAUUCUUUCCAGUAAGUAGUGCAAUUCCAGUCCUGUUUUCUUCUUUGAGUUGGAAUAGGAAUAUCCAUCAGUUGGGGAAUAAAUAAGUAUACAGCAUGGGAGUAUACAGCAUGGUCGGGUAAUAUAGAAUAAAUAAGGGGUUUCCGAGUCAAUAGUCAUGGGAGUUUGAAGAGUCAAAUAGCUUGAGUUUGAUAGCACAGAUCCGGUUCAGGAGUCUUCGAGUUCAAAGCACUAGUGGAUUUCCUGUCAGCACUAGUAGGAUCCCUAGUUUCUUGUUUUGUUUCAAUUGCCAGAUGCGCACUAGAUCGUACUUCUCUAAUAAUACUAAGUUGAACUCAUGUUUACUCCUAUUAUUCUUAUGUCCCUUUGUUCAAUUCCGAUUAUCGUUAGUUAAUUCCCUGUUCCGAGCUAGGGUCCUAUACUUAUAAAUAGUGGUUUCAGUCUCUCUUUUAUUAGUUUCGCUCUAAUAGCAGUUAGGAUCUCUGCCCGAAGGAUGUAAUAAGCAAGUCCAGAAUUCUAGCCGGUAGAGCAAGCCCGAGAUGAAGUCAAGUAAGCCUCUAAUCCAAUAAAAGGAAAGUCAAGCCCAGAAGCCAGAAAAGCAGCAAUCUUUCCGUUUUCUAGGAGUCAAAGAGACCGACUUGGCAAAUAUUAAUUGCGCUAUCGCUCUGACUCUCCUGUCUCUCUGCCUUACUUCCUGUUUACCUUAUCUUUAUCCCCUGGCUUUGAUUCCUCUACUAAUAAGAGAACAACUGGUGCCUCUCAUAACCAACCUUGAAAAGGGGGAAUUCAAUCCAAAGUAAGAGAAUCAAACGAGUAAGGCAAGGGCUGAAAUCACCGACAACAGACAAGUAACCACCAAUUAGUGAUUAAGAAGUUAUUACUGCAGUUGUAUUCGCAGAACUCGAUCCAAUAGUCAAAAAGCCUUAUCUUGAUAUCGAUGCCAAGCCUCCAUUACUAAGUAGUAAAUCUGACACUUGUUUGGGUAUUCAAUGGAUUAAGUCAUAAGCGAACUGCUAACUAUGAGAUUGAAAACUUGUCAUAAGGAAACCAACCACUGCUUAGCGGGCUAACCAACCACUGCUUAUCGGGCUAUAGUUACUGAGCCAGAUCCCUACUUCUCUUCUCGGCUUGACUCUUAUACUGGGUUUGUUGAUUCCUGUGCUCUUGUUUCUGUAAACUAACCACUCCACUACUACUUUAAGGAUCCUAUCCCCGGUUUGAUUCUUUGUUUACUACUUUGUAUGGUAGUUGAGUUCUUACUUCUUUGUUUCAUUAAUACUUUCCUACUUGAGAGAAGAGUUACCUUACUUAUAGCUUAUUGCCUAAUUGCAGAAUAUUGGUCAUAGGGUAAAGAGAAAGGGUUGAUGCAAUCGGUAACUAUUUAUUUGAUACCUGAAUUCGGAUCUCUGUAACGAGCAACUCUGACGCUGGAGCGGAAUUCUUUCUUAUUAGUAAGGAAUGCUAGGUAAGUGGGAGUGCUAGGAAGGCGCAAGACUCUCGCAAAUAACUAUACAUAAUGUAUUAAUUAGUUGCUGUUAUAAACAAGUGCUUUUUUUAGUGCUUUGUUCACCGGUGUCAUUAACAAGUCCUAAUUUUCAUAUGUCUUUCUUUGUUGUCGUAGAUAUUAGGACUACCGCUACACUUACGUAGUUACUUGGUAGGUGCGAGAAAGCCUUUACUUUACCUCGCCUCGCCUCAAAGCCAGUAGCUGAAGAUUCUUAUAGCAUUGGUUACCGGGUGGGUUUCUUUGAGUCCAACCCCAAGCAUGAAAGGCAGGUCUUCAAGGAUAGGUCAUGAGCUGGAGCUAGGUAAGUCCGGAUAGGUAGGCGGGCAGGUCUAUCUUGCUUUAUACCCGGGUAGAGAAUAGAGUUGACUUCAAACUUGUAGAGAAAUCUCGCUACGAAAAAGUCAACUAUCCGCUUGUGUCUCUGUUACUAGUUUAGUGCGGUUAAGAGCUUACUGACGCCGAUGUACUUGUUUCAGAAUUCCACUCCUCCUCGUAGAAGAAGAGAAGAGAUGAGCCAGAGUAUGAUGAGACUGCCCUUCUUUACUAUGAAUUUGAAUGUAUCCAAGAGAAAUCAGUUAGUAUAAGAGAAGGUCAAAAGAAAGAGUUUCUUAUUAGUGGGAAGGCGCAGUGAUUGAAUAGUCACCCUACCAGAAUCUCCAUGGAAUGACUCGAUCCAUGAAGCCUUUCUUACCCACAUAUCGGGAUCUUUCUAUCUAGGUAAGGUUAGCCACAUUGAAGUUAGUGCUCCACCCCUUGGUAUGGUACCGGAAGCACUUUGUAUUGGUACUAAAUGUGUUUCCCUGCCUUGAUAGGAGUCAAGGGUAUCAGAGUUUAGAGUUGUAAGUAAGGAUUCUCCUAUAGAUACAAUUCCAGUCUGUCUUCAUUCAAUUGAUCAGUCUUCCAUUCCACUAUUCAAAAGUGAGAGUUGAGAGUGUAGGGAAGUCUCCUAUAGGGCUAGUACAUGUGUGACUUCCAUGCUUUGUAGGGCACAACAAGAAGGAGCGAAGCUGCGAGAACGAAUGGGAGACGGUCCAUGUUAAUAGAGCUCGCAUAUGUCGAAGAAAGAGGGGGGUAGAAAGAAGAGAGUGGUUCUAGAGUUGCUCACCUUGCAGGGACGGACGGAUUAAGCAGAAGCUGAAGGGCGUCAGGCAGAGGGUCUCGAAGUGAAGUAUCUUCGGCUUACCUUUUUGCUUGUUCCGUGUUAUAGCAAAUAGUAGAGCCAAGGUGAAGCUCCUGGAUCCGUAGCUCGGUAAAGGAAUGACAGAAAUAACUUAGCCUUGGUAGAUCAACUCAAGGUACUGACAAAGCUCGUAAGAACGCGGAUUCCAAUGAACAAGAAUAACGACUACUAGGAAUAGCAGGGCUAGUCAACAAUGGUUAAGUUGGAACACUCGCUUCUCGCUUCGAAAGUGGAGUAGUAACCAUUUUCGUAAUUGCCAUCCUAUAGGAGAGGAGAAACUCUUUAUUUCUAGUUCGUAGAGAUCCGAUUGAGAAGUUAUUGAUCUGGACAAUCCCAGGUUCGUAGAGAUCCCCGAUUGAGAAGUUAUUGAUCUGGACAAUCCCAGGUUGUUUGUUACGAAGGUUGCCUGGUCUGACUCAGCACAUAAUGAAAGGGCUUUCCUCCUACUAGAAGAAAAGGGGUCAAGUUCAUAUUCAAAGAAGGGAAUCUUGUCGGGAGCCCCUGAUUAGCGGUUGGAAGCACGACGGAAUCUAAAUAGACCAACGCGUGCUCCACCUAUAAAAGAUGGAAGAGUACGCUCGAUAUAUCACAGAGGAGGUAAUGGGGAUCAAUAGAUCUAGUAGCUCGUCCUAGGAUGGUACAAGCCCCAUAAAAUAGCAUACUUCGGGCCUUAUAAUCAGACUGCAAAUUCAAUGGAUGCAUACUUCGGGCCUUAUAAUCAGACUGCAAAUUCCAUUAGUUCGUAGUGAUCUAAUGAAAUGAAAUGGAUUGAGUUCUACAUGAUCUAAUGAAAUGAAAUGGAUUGAGUUCUACAUGAUCUAAUGCUGGGGUUAGGGAGGAGAGUGUGCGACCGCGAAGUGAUAGGUUGCUUCUGAUUUUGGAUCGGUAAUUCUAGAGUAGUCCCUUUCUUUUUUAGUGUAGAGGAUUAUUGCCCGAGCUGGCUGGAGCUUUUAGUAGUAUGUGGGAGCGCCCUUUCUUCCUUUCCAUAAAUUCCCACUAAAGAUGUUGGAGUGCUACAUCGUCGAGAUUACUUCGCUUGCCUGUUGACGGUUCCCUUUAUGUCAGGAUGAAAGACAAAUGAAUACAAUGUCAGAAAUGACCAGGAUGAAAGACAAAUGAAUACAAUGUAAGAAAUGACGCGAGAAGGGAAGUUUCAAGUUCAAAUACUGGUGUUGGCGAUGAUAGAGGCGAGGCAAUUCCCCGUUUCGGGUUUCAUUCUGUUACUACUAGACAAGUCAGUAAGAAUUCCGUGAUAGGAGCAAUAGGUAUAGGAGCCGAAUUAAGCAAGGCAAGUAAGAAGGAAGGGAGUUCAUUCCGCAAGUAAGAAGGAAGGGAGUUCAUUCCGCAAGUAAUAAUUCAGGGAGUGUAAUUCCGCAAGUCAUAAUUCAGUCAGGGUAUAAGAUAAGCGGGUACGAUCUAGCUCUGUACUAAUACAUGUCAGAAUAAAACAUAUAGGCUUUUCACGCAAUUGAUUCAAAGGUUCAGUUAAGUAGAAAGUGUCAUCGUACUAAGAAUCAUAGGCUCAAGCAGAAGCAAGAUAUGGAGUAGGAAUAAGAUCUGAAGCCGGGUGCUCAAUAGUGAGAAUUCCACUCCUACACAGUAGGGAAAGUGAGAAUGGAAUGGCAACGAGGGAAGUUGACUUCACAACCGCACCAGAGCUAUCAAGGAAAAUAUCCAAACUGGAGCUGUUGUUUGGACUGUUGUUUGCUUCUAAUUAAUAUCAACUAACUAAUAGAAUGACUCUAAGUAUUUUGACUCUAAUAAAACCACUAGUGGAAUUACGAUAAUCAACCUACUAUUAUGAAAUACAAAUAAGCAUAUGAUAAAUAUAAGUCAAUAAUAAACUAAGUAAAGUCAAAGAAGCAGAGACAGGGUAGACUAAGUAAAAGAAUAAUAGACAGGUUAGUCAGAUGAAAAGGAAGUAGAGGCGGGCUGCCAAUAGGGGGGAACUCACAAGGCAUUGAGGGUCGGUAGUGCAAGUCUUAUUCCCGAGUGAGAUUCAGCAUAUUCCCUGGUUCUCGGUGUUCUCAUUCUCAUCAGUAUCAGUGUGCGAUUCUUUCAGUUGGUCUUAUCAGCCUUGUAGUAUCUCGAAAAAAGUAUCUGACUUGAGACCAGUAUACUCUAUUUCAGGCUUGCGGUGAACUAUUGCAUUCUCAUCGGUAGUGUUUUCAGUCUAAUAGCUUUUAGAGGUUUCCAGUUUCUAAGUUCAAAAGCACUAGUGGAGUUCCUUAUUCAAAGUAUGAGUUCCGAGCAAAGGUAUUAAAGGCAGUAGAGCAGGAUCCGAAUCAGUAGUAAAAGAACGAAACUAUAAAUAAAGAGUUGAAACCAAGGAGAGGUAGAUUGAAAGGAGAGAUAUAGAAUGCAAAUCCGGAUAGUAAGCCAGUUUGCUAGCAGCUCCAAACUCUUAUUAACAGUAGUCCGAGUCUAAUAGGCAAUGAAAGCCCUGUUUCGAGUUAAAGUAUGAUUAGGCGCAAGUUCCAUUCUUUUACCACUUAGUAGAUUAUGAUAAUUUCCAUAGGCCUAUGCCUUUUAUUACACCUAUACAGGUAACAUCGUACCCAUUUAUAUGACUUAUCGGUUGGAUUCCGAGAAGCCAACAGGAGUUUGCUGCUGGUACAGCCUUGUUUGCUGUGUUUGAAGUCUCGGUAGCACUAGUUGUAGGUUGCAAGCUAAGAUAGGUAUACUCAAGCUGAGGAAAGGUAGGCUUGGAAGUAAGUGUUAAAGAAUAGCGGUUUGGGUAGCAAGGCUGUUAGGUUGUAGUCGAAGAGUGAAGGAGAGCAAUUGCAGGUUGAAAGCAAGGAUAGCUAGAGUAAACCCAAAGAAGGACAGGCUCAUAGGGCAGUAAAGAGACUAUUAUUGGUAGUAGUAGGGUGAUUCUAGUAGUGAGUUGGAAUGAGAGGGACUAAAUACAGAUGUAGAUUCAAGAGAUCCAGAGUGAAACUAGUACAAAUAGGAGUGUGUGAGCUGCAGCAUUGCUAGUUCCGAGUUCCAUUCCCCUUUCUCAAGUGAAAGCCCUAGUUCCGAGUUCAAGUCUCAGAGUACCCAAUUAUGGAUUCUUUAUUCUUUUAUUUAGUCUACUAGUUAUUAGCAUAAGAGUUAGCCCGGGGCAAGUUAGAUUUUCUAUCAGAGUCUCAGAGUGAAAUACAUGUUUGGAAGCUAUGAAGUAAGGCUUGGCAUGAACACCAACAAUAUACCGUAUUUGAAAGUCUGGAUCCUAAUCAGUAGCUCUAUAGUCUUCAAAGAAGUUUUUGGAUUCCUUGUUCCUAGUUGAGUUCACUGAGUUUACUUCCCUGUUCCGAGUUUAGUCUAUCAGAGGGGGGGUAUUGUCCAAUUCCUUAUUAAUAAUCAAAAGGAUCCGUAUUCUGUGGCGAAAGAGUCAAGGUAAGGGUAGCGAGCCUGUUUGCUAGUAGCCUGAUUAUUAUUGAGAAGAUUGAUUUCCUUAGUGUUGUUUUAUCUUACAACUACUAAAACUAGUAGCCUUAGAGCUAGUUCAUCUAAGAAUGGAAGAAGUAAGUACCAUACCCUUCCGUCGUGAGAGGGCAGGAAAUUAGACAGAAACCAAGUAUAGAAAGAACGUAAGACAGGAGUUUAGGAACGAGAAGCAAGAGAAUAAGGGCUGAGACUGUGGAUUGGCUGUUUGAUAAAGCUAACAAUCAAGGCUUGGCUACUCCGGGGCAUGUUGGUUAUGAUACCGAUUAUUUGCAUUCUUUCUUUGAGUUAGAAACAAGUCCUGUGUUCUGGAGCUACUGCCAAUAAGGUGGAAACAAGAGACCGGGAAUAACACACUCGAUAUAAAGAAUUGAGCCCUGCUGGCAAAGAAUCCAAAAAGUCAAAUAAAGAAAAGGAUGCCUUGGGAAUCUAGAGCGGAGCGGGUGAGUCAAAUACUUGAACUUAUGAGCCUAGGAAUGACAACACCCCAUAUAGACUUCAAAUAGUCCAAAUAUGAUUUGAAACACUAAUACGGCUACUCGAACAGCAGCUAACAAGACUCGCUUUCUUUAAGGACCAUGAGCCUGACCCCUAAUCCGACUAUCCUUUUUCUUAGCCUACUGCUACUUGCUUAAAAACUGUAUCUAGUGCUUAUAAGACCACCACUACCUAUACCAUAUAUAUAUAUAUGUAAGCAUGAACUACAGGAGCAAUAAGAAUUGACUUAAUGCCUAAUCGACUUGGACUUAUCAGUAGCUCCGUUCCUAUUAGCGGAGGAAUCAGACUUAUAAGAAGGAGUUGUAUAACUAGAGGCAGUAGCGAGAGUUUCAACCAAUAGAUAGGGAAUUUCUAUCAGUAGGAGCAGACCAAUCGACGGGGUUUAGUUCUUAUAUGACAAUUCAUUCUUCUAUUAUAUAUUACUCAUUAUUGAACGGUAUCGGAUCAAGUCUUGUUGAUCCUAGGUUGAUUCUUUCUAUUGAUCUUACUGGUCUUGUAGCGUAGGAACGUAUCCAUUGAUCUUAUUUGUCUUGUAGCGUAGGGCGAACGGUCUAGUCGAAACUUAGGGAGGACAUCCAUCUAAUGGUAGAAAGAAAGUCCGGACAUCCAUCUAAUGGUAGAAAGAAAGGGAGGACAUCCAAUCUAAUGGUAGAAAGAAAGUCCGGACAUCCAAUGGUAGAAACAACGAACAACGAGGUGGUCCAUCGCAUAUGCUAUGAAGGUACUGCGCCCCUGUAAUGAUUGAUUUUAGCUACUCCGUGGUGGGACCAAUCAUUCUGUGAGCAGCUAUGUGUGCUCUGGCCCAGCAACUACGUCUUCGGUCGUUGACUGAGAACCUACCGUGCUUUAUUGCAGACACCACUCAGAGAUAGAUAGGUCGGGCAAGCUCACAUUAUAUAUGAGGUCGGGCAAGCUUUUCGCUCGAUGUUGAUGAAAAAAAGUAAGGAUGAUAGUGGUCAAUACGGAAUGAAAAGAAACCACGAUACAGAGAAUGACUUCGGGAGGCGGUGGGGUGGACAACCUAAGAACGAGAUAGGGGAGCGAAAGAGCUAAAGAAAGGAUCGGUAUGGCACUAUGAUAUGGUAUGAUAUAAUAUGGUAUGAUAUAAUAUGGUAUGAUAUAGUAUGGUCUGAUAUAAUAUAUGGUAUGAUAUAAUAUGGAUGGUAGACGUACCCACCACAUAUCCAAGGGAGGAACAAACAAACCCAUAUUGAACUAAGUAGUCAAAGGAUGGAGCUAGGGACGGGAGCAGAUGUAGCUAGGUAAGUGAGGAGCGUGGAUCGAAAGAAGACAAGAUAGAG